UGGAAAUCUGCUGAUUUGCUAGAGUCUGAAAAACUUUCAAAAGAAAUAAAAGAUCGUCUGAUGAAGAUUGUUAAGAAAAGAGAAGACAAAGCUGUGAAUGGAGAAGUCAAUAGCUUCGGCAGUGAUUUUCUUGGAUUACUUCUAAAUGCCUAUCAUGAUUCGGAUGCGAAAAACAGGAUUUCAUUGGAAGACGUGGUAGCUGAAUGCAAAACAUUCUAUUUUGCUGGACAAGAAACUGUUAAUUCCUUACUUGCAUGGAUAGUCUUGCAUUUGGCAAUCCAUGGAGAUUGGCAAGAAAAAGCGAGAAGAGAGGUGAUUGACAUAUUUGGUAACCAAAAUCCACAUCUCGAAGGCAUUGCGAAACUCAAAAUAGUAAGAAAACUAUCUAACUGGGAAUUCAAAUAGCCAUCAACAUUAUGCAAUCUAACAUAUUUGUCUAUUUCCUAAACAGAUGACCAUGAUCAUCAAUGAAACUCUAAGAAUGUAUGGUCCGCCAAAUGGCUUGGCAAGAACAGUUGCAAGAGAAGUACAAUUGGGAAAGUUAGUCUUGCCUGCUAAAUUAGAUAUUCUGCCUCUAAAUAUUGGACUUCACCGUGACCCUCAAUUGUGGGGAGAUGAUGUGCAUCAUUUUAAACCCGAGAGAUUCGCUGAAGGGAUUGCCAAAGCUACCAAUUACACUGCGGCUGCAUUUAUUCCCUUCGGAUUGGGACCUCGAUCUUGUGUUGGUAUGACAUUUGCAUCAAUAGAAACAAAGGUUGCUCUCUCCAUGAUUCUACAACAUUACACCAUUACCCUCUCCCCUGCCUAUGUCCACUCUCCAAUACCUAUUCUCACCCUUCUACCACAACAUGGAAUUCAGGUAAUACUUGAGCCGAUACAUAGUAAUGCUUGAAGUACAUAGCUGUUAAGAAAUAAAGGUUUAACAUGGUUCAUGUAUUUUAGUUUUAAAAGGUGACAUUUAAUAUGUAUAAGGUUCUAGCAUUUGCAACCCCUUCCCUAUCCUAUAGUAUGCCCACCUUCAUACAUAAUGAAAUGCAAGUAGCUACUUAUUUCCAAGAUGGUAAAACACACAAUCAAUAAAGAAGAAUAUGUCGAGGCAAGUUUUGGGAACAGUGACUCAAGAAAUGACAACUGAAUUUGACACGUACAGAUCACAUAACUUCUCUUUUUUGUUAGCAUAUGUUGGUGAUUAGAACUCGAACUUUGAUGAUUGAUCGAGAGAUUUGAAGCAAAAAGAAGAGAAAGGAAGUUUUAAGAUAGAAAGUAAUUGAAGACUGAAAUAAUAAUGGAUUUGCUCCUCAAUGACUUAAAUACAAAAGUUGAAGACUAAAAAUAGAAAAAAAAAGGUUCUAAAAAUCUGCUAAGAAUCUGGUAACAAUAAACCAAACAAAUCGUAAAACUAAGCUCCUAAAGUAAAGGAGAAUUAUUCAAACUUAGCAACAAAAAAUUAAAUGGCAGCAAUUUUAAACAUGUGAUCUCAACACUUUCUUUAUUUAGAUGCUGCAAACUCCAAGUUUCUUCCUGAAGCUUUCAAACUUGCUAAGUGGCAAUGGUUUGGUGAAGAUAUCUGCAAUUUGAUCUUCAGAUUUGCAGUAACAAAGAGACACAUCACCACUCUUUUGAACUUCUCGAACAAAAAAUAACUUGAUGUUGAAAUGCUUAGUCUUCCCAUGAAAGACUGGAUUGUUAGAGAUUGCAAUGGCAGCUUGGUUAUCAACUAGAAUCUCUGUGCUUUGCUUCUGCUCCAUGUUUAGAUCAACAAGAAUCUUCCUUAACUAGAGAGUUUGGUUAACUGAUGCUGUUGCAGCCACAAAUUCUGCCUCAGCAGUGGAUUGAGCUACAAUUUCUUGCUUCUUCAAGCUCCAAGAGAACAUGCCUGAUCCAAGGCAAAAACAAUAACCAGAGUUACUCUUCAUAUCAUCAGUUGAGCCACCCUAAUCAUUGUCAGAGAAACCAAUUAACUUUAAUUCCCUGUGCUUUAAAAACUUCACUCCAUAACUCCAGGUCCCCUUGAUGUAUCUGAUAACUCUUUUUGCAGCUUUCAUGUGAGUCUCAUUAGGACAAUGCAUGAAUCUAGAGAGAAUACUUACAACAUUCAAGAUGUCGGGUCUGGUUGCUGUUAAGUACAUUAGACAACCUACCAAACUCCUAAACUCAGCUUCAAUGACUUUGGCAGAACCAUCAUCUUUGAUUAGCUUCUCUUUUUUAUUCAUAGGAGUGCUCAUUGCUUUUCAAUAUUCCAUAAGAAAUUUUUUAAGUAUCUCCUUUGCAUAGUUUCUUUGACAGAUGAACACUUCAUCUUGGCAUUGUUUGAUCUCAAUGUCAAGGAAAUAAGACAUCAGACCAAGAUCUGUCAUUUCGAAGACCUUUUUCAUUUCCAAUUUGAACUGAUUAACUUGAUCGAGAUUGCUGCCUGUAAUCAAUAAGUCAUCUACAUAAAGAGAAAUGACUAAAGUGUUUGUACCUUCAUGCUUUACAUAUAGUGUGAGCUCAGAUUGACUUUUCUGAAAGCCAAUGCCCACCAAAUGAUCAUCAAUUCUGCUAUACCAUGCUCGUGGAGCCUGUUUUAGGCCAUACAGAGCCUCUUCAGCAAGUAAACUUUGUCUUCAUUGCCUCUGUUUACAAAACCUUCAGGUUGCUCGACAAAGAUUUCUUCUUGCAAGACUCCAUUUAGGAAUGCAGAUUUAACAUCUAACUGAAAAACUUUCCAGUUCUUUUGUCCAGCAAGAGCAAGCAGUAACCUUACAGUGUCAAGCCUGGCAACAGGUGCAAAUGUUUCUGAAUAAUCGACUCCAAAGACUUGUGCAUAUCCCUUCACAACAAGUCUUGCUUUGAAUUUGUUAACUGAACCAUUGGGAUUUAGUUUCGUUCUGAACACCCAUCUUACUCCAAUUAUCUUUUUGUCCAAAGGUUGAUCAACCAGCUCCCAAGUUUUGUUUUUCUCAAUCAUCGAAAGCUCCUCUUCAUUGCAACCAUCCAAUGUUGACUGUUUUUUGCAUCAUGAUACCCUGCAGGCUCACAAAUAGCUACGUUACAUCUUUGGUAAAUGUCGGAAAGCAGCCUUGUACCUCUGACAGGUGUAUCAUCAGCCAAAACAUCUUGCCCUUCAUCUUCAAGCUCCUCUAAUGUGCUGCCAAUGGUAAAAUGAUCUGGUGCACUAGAAGCUUGGUUCGUCUUGGUCGAGUCUUCCCAAUUCCAUUGCUCAUUUUCAACAAAAUAAACAUCUCUGCUCACAAUAACAUGUCCAGUGUGUGGUUGAAAUACUCUGUAAGAUUUAGAUACAGUGCUAUACCCAACAAAAAUGCCAGCUUCUGCCUUUUUGUCAAGCUUAUCACGCUUGACCUGUGGAAUGUAAGUGAAACACAGGCAACCAAACACUCUAAGGAACUUUAAAUAAGGUUUGUAACCCUACCAAGCUUCAAAUGGCAUCUAAUCCUUCACAGCUUUUGUUGAAAUCUGAUUUUGCAAGAACACAGCAGUGUUUGCAGCUUCUUCCUAAAAGCCUUUUGGAAGAUUCUUCUCAUAAAGCAUACACCGAGUCAUCUUCAUUAUGAAUCUGUUCCUCCUUUCACUGACUCCAUUUUGUUAUGGAGUGUAUGGCACCGUCAACUGAUGCUCAAUUCCAGCCUCUUCACAAAACCUAUUAAAAGUUUCUGAAGCGUACCCCUUGCCAUUAUCAGAUCUUAAAAUCUAAAUCAUGCAUCCACUUUCAUUCUCAACUUUGGUUUUGAAUUUCCAGAACACACCAGCAACUUCUGAUUUUUAUUUCAAUAAGAAAAUCCAACACAUUCUUGUUAGAUCAUCAAUAAAGGCUAUGUAAUAGAGGUUACCGUUUAACGAUGGCAUUCUCUGAAGACCACAAAGAUCGGUAUGAACAAGCUAUUCGAGGCUCUCCAGGCUUGUUUAGGAAAGGGUUGUCUAUGUUGUUUCCCAAAUUUGCAAGAUCGACAAUGAGGUAGAUCAUCAUCAAUGUCUAUAAGUCCUUCUACCAGCUUCUUUGACUGCAUUUGAAGCAAUCCUCGAUGGUGAAAGUGCCCAAGUCUCUUGUGCCAAGUCUCAGUGGCACUAACUCUGGAUUUAAAAGCCAUUUGCUCCUUUUCCAUUGGAUUAAGAUAAAAAAAUUUUCCCUUCAUUUUGACAUUAAACAAGUCUCUGCCAUUAGCAUCUCUGAUCAAGCAUUGCUUAUUCUCAAAUAGCACUUUAUAGCCUUUAUCCAGUAACUGACCAACACUGAGGAGAUUUUGAUCAAUUUAGGUGCAAACAAAACAUCUGAAAUGAAUUUUGUACCUUUAUAGCUUGUAAUAGCUAUGCGCCUUUUCCCUUGACUUCCAAGUACUCAUCAUUUUCAAUCCUCACUAUUUUGACUUCAGUGUUUCUCAAUUCCUCGAAGAGCUCCUUGUCAUACGUCAUGUGAUUUGUGCACCCACUAUCAAUCAACCAUCUCUCACUUGAUUCUCUGCCUGAGAAACAAGUAACCACAAACAAUCGAUCUUCUUCUUCUUGAUCAGCUACCUGUGCAUCUACUUCUUGCACCUGGCCUUUGACCUUGCAAACCACUGUUUUAUGUCCAAGUUGAUUGCAUUUGGAGCAUUUAACGUCAGGUCUUUUCCAACAUUUGAAUGGUAAAUGACCUUUCUUCUCACAAUGGUAAUAAGGUGGGUAGGAUUUCUUGACACCUCCUCUUUUGCUCUUCUGAUAAUUGCCUGAUGAAUUUUCUCUACUCGUCGACUGGUUCCUAAAAUUUUUCUUCUUUUUAUACCUGUUGUUGUCUUGAUGCUUGACAAGUAAGGCACCUUCUAUCACUCCCUCUUGCCUCAUUAGUCUUCUUUGCCCUUGUGCUUGUAAAGCAUUCAAGAGCUCUGCAAGAGAGAUCUUUGACAGGUCCUUGGUGUUCUCCAGAGUAGUAAUGGUGGCUUCAAGCUUCUCUGGAACAGUAACCAGCAGCUUUUCUACGAUUCUAGAGUCAUUCAACUCAGAACCAAGCAAUCUCACCUUGUUGGCAAUGCUGAAAAGUCUGUCAGAAUAUUCUUUCACUGACUCAGACUCCUUCAUCUUCUGCAACUCAAAAUCCCUGAUUAGAUUUAGGACUUUCAUUCCACAAAUCCUCUCAUCUCUUGCAUACUCAGCCUUUAAGUAAUCCCAGAUUUCCUUUGCUGAUUUCAGAGACAUUAUUCGUGUGAAAAUCAUUUGAGACUCAGCUGCAAAUAAGCAAGCUUUUGCCUUUGAUUUCCUUGUCUUCUUUUCCUUUUAUGCUUUAAUCUGUGCCACAGUAGGAUUUGCUGAAAGUGGUGGGACCUCGUAAUCCGCUUCUACAGCUUCCCAAAGAUCCAAAGCCUCCAAGCAAGUCUCCUUACGAACUGCCUACAUCUGGAAAUUGUCUCCAUUGAAGACUGGUAGUGCAGCAACUGAAAAACUAGACUCUCCUUCCAUCUUAACACGCAAAUAACCUCAUAGAUCCCUUAAGAAAAUAGCUCCGAUACUAAUUUGUUGGUGAUUAGAACUCGAACUUUGAUGAUUGAUUGAGAGAUUUGAACUAGAAAGAAGAGAAAAGGAAGUUUUAAGAUAGAAAGUAAAUGAAGACUGGAAUGGUAAUUGAUUUGCACCUCAACGAUUUAAAUAAAAAAUUCAAGACUAAAAAUAGAAAAAAAAGGUUCUAAAAAUCUGCUAAGAAUCUGGUAACAAUAUACCAAACAAAUCGUAAAACUAAGCUCCUAAAGUAAAGGAGAAUUAUUCAAACUUAGCAACAGAAAACUAAAUGGCAGUAAUCUUAAACAUGUGAUCUCAACAGCAUGUUUGAAAAAAAAAAUAUUUUGAUUACUUACUUGCAUAUUUUUGAGGAUUUUGUGCAUCCAAUCUUGUGUUUAUUAUUUGAUUAAUCUCAGAUUGAUUUUUCUUAAACUAGUGGUUAUACUAAGGCUUGUUAGCGGAUUAAACUUUGGGCAAAGCAAUAUAGAUGUAGAUCUGUUUUCCGUGACGGGAUUUGAAUCUACUAAAAAAAAUUCCUACGCUUGAAACCAAAAUUAAAUUUUAGUAUAUAGAAUAGGGUCGAUCCCACAAAGGUUAAUCUAUCUAAAUCUAUAUUUCUUUAUAACUAGAACAUGUCCCAAGCAGUUUUUAUGCCCAUGACUUGUGCCAACUUGUACGAAAAACAAAAGGGAAUUAAAUCUGAAAAAUGAAUAAACAAAAAAUAUAAAUUAAUAAUGAAAAUGAAGUAGAAAUAAGUAAAACGAAAUUAAAAUUGAAUAAACCGAUAAAACAAAAGCUCUAGCUUCAAGCUUGAAGCUCGAUUUUGACUCUGUCUUCAAACUAAUCACAAAGAAUGAAUUUUUUCCUUCAUUAAUAAGUCAAUUGUAGAUACCAAGAAACAAGCUCAAACCACCUAAUUCUUUCAUAGUGGUAAAUUAAUUGCUGGAACAGCUCGACGACUAAGCCUUAUAAAGUGAAUAACCUUGAAAGCAGCAUUCGUGAUUUAAUUCAUUAGUAGCCUUGCGAACUAGAAGAACCUGGCUUAAAUCAACGACCUCAAUUGUAUGAGUCAUUUAAAAUUAAUUAUUAACUUCCUUGAUGGAUCCAACCACUCAUGUCAAUUUGUUCUUCAAUGGAUCUAAUACAACAAUUACAAUCACAUUGAUUCUCUAACUGUAUGUCCUUCAACACUAAACCAAGGGACUCUUCUUGAUUUUGAUGCUAAAAUAACAUUGAGAAGUAAUUGAGUUUAUCUUUUAAUUGGAGAAUUAACAAAUACCGAAAUGGAGAAUAUAAACACGAUUUUGAAAUUUCACCGUUCAAAUAUCGGAUCAAUUAUCAAUCUAAAACUAGGUUAAAUUUAACUUCUCAUAAAUUAAAAAACAAGAAAAGAAAAUCGUUGAAGGAGAAUAUUUAAUUGAAAUAAAAAACACUAAAAUAAAAUCAAAACAAUAGUUAAAUGAUAAGGUUGCUUUGAAACUGGAGUUGCCAUUUUCGUUGGAGGAGAUAAAAAAGGCAGUGUGGAGUUGCGAUGAGUCGAAAGCAUCUGGGUCGGAUGGCUUAAAUAUGUGCUUUUUUUAGAAAAUGUUGGGAUGUUGUAAAAAAUGAACUUUUUAGAAUGAUACUAGACUUUUUUAGAUCUAGAAAGCUUGAGAGGAGCAUCAAUUCUUCAUUUAUUACACUCAUAUCCAAAACCAAAAAUCCAAAUAAAAUAUCAGAAUUUAGACCAAUUUUUUUGGAGAGCUCGUUGUACAAGAUAGUGGCAAAGGUGUUAUCUCGAAGAAUUAGGGAGGUUGUUGGAGAGGUAGUGAGAGAAACACAAUGUGCAUUUAUCAGAGGUAGACAAAUAUUCGAUGAAAUUUUAAUUCUAAAUGAAAUUAUCCAUUCGAUUAAAAAGAAAAAUGGUAUGGGGGCAAUCUGAUUUUUAAACUGGAUUUUUCUAAAACAUAUUAUUGUGUUUGUUGGGAUUUUUUUGAGUUAGUUUUACUCAAGAUGAGAUUUGGCCAGAAAUGGAUAGGAUGGAUUAUGGAGUGUGUAUCUAUGGUGAGAGUAGCAAUAAUUAUCAACGGGUCAACCACAAAUUAAUUUAGAUUCCGCCGAGGUCUCCGUUAAGGACAUCUGUUAUCUUUAUUUUUAUUUAUCCUAGUGACGAAAGUGCUAUAUUUGUCGAAGGAUAAAGUAGUGGAGAUGGGGCUAAUUUAGGGCAUUCAAGAUGUUAUUCCCGUGCAGAUUUUUUCUCAUUUACAAUUCGUGGACGAUACUAUACUAUUCUUGAGAGGAGAUGAAGAAGACGUGAGAAAUGAUAAGUAUAUUUUACGGUGUUUUAAGAUCUUUUCAAGUCUUAGUAUCAAUUUCAAAAAAUCAUGUUUAGUAGGAUUUGAUGAGAAUGAAGAACUCUUAUAUCAAAUGGCUACAAUAUGUUAGUGUAAGAUAAGAUUUUUGCCUUUUAAUUAUCUAGGGAUUCCAUUGGGAGCAAAUCUGAGGAGAGUAUCCACUUGGGAUGCAAUUGUAGAGAGAUUCAGGAAGAAAUUAUCGGGAUGGAAAUGCCAUAUGCUCUCGUGGGCUGCAAGGAUUGUGUUGAUUAAUGUUGUUUUAUCUACCUUGUUGAUUUAUUUCAUGUGUAUAUUCCAAGCUCCAGUGACAGUUAUUAAAAGGACCGACAAGAUAAGGAGAAAUUUUCUUUGGGGGGGAGUAUAAAUGGUAAAAGGAAGAUGGCGAAGGCAAGCAGGAAACAUAUAUGUAAGCCAAAGGAGAAGGGAGGAGCGGGAGUGGUGAAUCUCAUAAUUAAAAAUAGAGCUUUAUUAGAAAAAUGGAGUUGGAGAUUCGCGGUUGAAAAAGAUGCAUUGUGGCAAAAACUCAUCCUAGCAAAGUAUGGUUCGCGCCCGCAACAAUGGCACUUUAGGACGACUAAUCUAAAAGUUAUGUCGAUUGUAUGGAGAGGUAUUGUAGAAAAUUCUAAAGACGCUAAUGGUUCUAAAUGGGUGGGGAACGAAGCUUUUAGAUGGAUGGUUGGGAAUGAAAGGAUGGCGGUGUUUUGGGAGGAUAUUUGGUCCUGUAGUCAACCACUAAAAAUGGAAUUUCCUAGAGUGUUCCGCUUAGCAAGACGAAAGAAAGGUAUGGUAGCAGAUUGCUCGAGCAACAAUGGUUUCACCACCAAGAGUGUGAAGUUUUCUAUGGAUGCUUGCUAUUGAUAGAAUUCCUACAAAGGAAUUUCUCGUUAAAAGAGUAGUGUAGCUUCAACACAUUUCGAUCGAAUGUCCAUAGUGUGAAAGAGUACCAGAGAGAGCAUAUUAUCUAUUCUUCAAAUGGAAAUAUAUUGAAAGGUUCUGGUAUAAAUUUUUCAAAUGGUGGGAGGUUGAAUGGAAUUCGAUAGAAGGAUUUGCUGAUUUUUAUUCUUUGUGUUAUAACGUGAAACUGUUAGGAGCCCGAAAAAGUUUAUGGUUGUUAUCGAUUUCGAUAGCUUGCUAGUCAGUGUGAAUAGCAAGAAAUGAAAUUGUCUUCGAAAGAAAGGUGACGACUAUGGAAGCUUUGAUAUUUCAAUCCAAGAUGAGGGCAAAGUUGUGGAUAAGGUUUGUAUAUAUAUGAUGAGUAAAUGGUGCAAGAGAGCUCUUGGUGGAUUUGUCCGAACAAGUGCAAAUUUGAUACAAUUAAACCAAAUCCUCUUCGUCGAUAUGACGCCCUCCUCCACAAGGCUAUCCAAGUUUCAAUGUAUGUGGGAUAGAAAAUGAGGAAGUUACAGGUUGUGGUGGAGUACUAAGAGAUAUAGAGGGUGUUGCAAGAGCUUUAUUUUCGGGUCCUAUUGUAGCUAAUGACACAAAUUCAACAGAGGUAGGGGUAGUGUUUAUAGCAUUGGAUUUGUUCUUAUCCAUGGGAUGGAAGAUUAAUAGCUCUCUUAUUGUAGAAAUUUGUUCAAAAAUGGUGUACAAUUGGUGUCUGAACAAGGAUAUGAGACCGUGGUUGUUACAAACAACAUUUUCAGUUAUUGAGAGGAAAAUUGAGCAGGUUGGUAGUGUAGUAUUCUCGAUGGCAGAUCAAAAACGUAAUGAAAUGGCUUCAACCUUGGCAAUAGCAGGUAUUAAUCGUGGUGACAUGUUCAAAGCUUGUUAGUGAGUAUUAGCUUUGAUGUUGAAUAUUAGUUUUCGAUUGUAGGAAAUGUUUCAUUGUGGUAUUUUGUAACUUGUUUCUUUUAAGUGUUGUUCUUGUUGUAUUUACAACAGAUUAGUUUGAAUGAAGCAAAAAAAAAAAAUUUUGGUGGGUACCGUGUGCCCCCUCUCUUCACGCCUUACUAUAUAAUAAUAAUAAUAAUAAUAAUAAUAAUAAUAAUAGACAAGCUUAAGAAUAUAAGAAGCCUUUACUCAUUCCCUAAGAUAAAAUUUAAUCCUCAUUAAUAUCUUAAAGAGAAACAUUUUUCCAUAAAAAUAAAAAUAAAAAAUAAAAUAAUCCUAAAUUUUAAAUGUCUUAUAUGUCAACUUCUCAAUCCAACUAUAAAUUUACUUUUUUAUAUUGUACUCUAACACUUCGAACAUGUGCUAUAUUUAUAUAGAAAAUAGUCAACAAAGUACCAAAGUAGUAGCAUCCAUGUCCAAAAUUAAUCAGAAUAAAUCAUUAAAAAAUAUCUAUUAAGAACAUUAUCACCCCCCUUAAUCAAUACUUGCCCUUAAACAUUUCAUGCAUUCAUCAUCUAAACAUAUCACAAUCAUCCAAGCCAUUUCUUGCAUUCAUCAUCUAAACAUAUCACAAUCACCCAAGCCAAUUCAACUUUCACAGUCCUCAGUUCAAUAAAAAAAUAAGCAUUAUCAAAAUUUUGACCGUACAACCGUCUCCCUCAAGCAAGCACAUAGAUUAACAAUUUAUGAUAAGUGCUAAAAGUAACAUAUUUUAACCUCGUUUUGUAACAUCUUGGAAUUUGGGGUUAGAAGUUUUGAGGUUUGUAGUGAGGGUCAGCAAGUAGGUUGAACAAUUGGGUUUAUUUUCGCGUUUUAACAUCAAAAUGAGUUUACUAAUUUGGUGGUAGAGUAUGUUACUAGUUUGCCUUGGUCUAGUGUUUGAAUCCCGAUGUGAGAAUAAAGGAAGUUUUAUUUUAAAUUUGUUUCUUUUUGUGUUAACUUAUUUUUAUUUAGAUUUUUUAUUUGAAAAAAAUAGAAGAAAAUCCCAAAAAUUUCUCACGUUUUCCACUUUCUCUUCACAUCAGUCUUUCUCCUUCUUCCAGUAAAUAAAAAUUAUAGAUUUUGAUUUUCUUUCUUUUUUUAUUGGGUUUCAAUACUUUUGUAAACCGCUGCCUUCAAAUACUAGUGGUGCUUUUGUUCUUCGUUUGAUCAGACGUCGAAUCGGGUGAGUGUAGGGAUCAUUUUGUAUUUAGGUUUAUGCGAUUAAUUCUUGGUAAUUUGAUAUAAGGUUUAGGUCGGAAAUUUUUGUAGCUUUAGUAUGUUUGCGGAACUGAGUUUCAGGUUGUUACAGUAAAGGCCAAGUGGUCGAUUCUUGGUGCUCUAAAACAUCAUUCAGGUGUGUGUUUUGAAACUGUUUAAUUUCAGUAUUGAAUUACUGUUGGAUUUUAUGGAAUUCAGCAGUUUCUAGUGUGUUUCUAAAAUUGUGUGAAUUCAGUAAUGAAUUGCUGCUGGAUUUUGGGAAAAUCUACAAAAUUCUUAUGUGUCUUGAAUGGUUUGUGAUUAGGGUUCAUUUUGCUAUUGCAAAAUUGCGAUUUCAACUUGUUUCAAUGUGGUUUCAUGACCAUACUGGUGGGCACACGAGUGUGUGCAGCACACAGGUGUGUGUAGCACAUGGGUAGUCCACACAGUCAUGUAACAUUGGGAAUUAGGGAUUUUGGAUGUUUUUUAGUGCCACACGGUCGUGUGGUGGCUAUUUGGGGAUUUUUUUCAUUUUUCACAUGGACAUGUGCCUUCGACACACGGUCGUGUCCCUUAGCCACACGGGUAUGUGAGAUUCCCACACAAGCGUGUCUACUAUGCUCCUUAUUUUGACACUUUUGGACAAUGAGUUACGCGGAUUAUCAACACGGCCAUGUAACUCGGUCACACUGAUGUGUCUCCUCCAUACGAGCUUGUGUAGCUUGCACAUGGGCGUGUAAACCACCACAUGGCCUAGUAGACCUCCACACGACCUAGUCACUCCCACACGGACGUGUGGCUCUGUUUUGGAAAUUUUUGUUUUGUGUUAAAAUUUGGCUCGUUUUGUGUUUCUGUAUGUUUCGACCCUCAGUUAAGCCUUGGUAACUGUAUUGAGGACUCCGCUAUGAUAUGGAUUUAAAUGUGUAUGUGUGUGUUCAGUUUAGGUAAUUGGGAAAUGUAUUAAUGUGUAUGUGUAUGUGUAUGUGUGUUUUGCAAAUUUUUGUUCUGUGACAAUUGGUAUUGGACUAAGUUUUAAAGCUACUAGUUGAGAUGAAAAAAGGAGUAAAAGAGCAGAUUGAACCCAGAGAGACCCAUGAGAGGGGCAGAAAAGAUAGUAGAUCGAGGGAUAUGCUGUCGACUUUGAAAGGUCAAGUGACUAAUCUCGAGGAAUCCAUAAUUUGAGUUCUUGAACUCAAAAUAAGAGAAUUUAACGUGCAUUUUGAAAUUAAGAAAUCGAUAUUUUAUUAGUCAGAAAAAAUUUUAACCCAAAAAUACUUAAACCCUAUCUAAAAUUAUAUUAUAAAUAAACUAAUUUUUCAAAUUUAAAAACUGAGUAGUUCAAUAAACUUGAAUUAAUAAAUUUUCCCUAUUUGUACAUUUAUGACCACACAUGAUAAUGGGUAAGAUAAGGUCCUAACGGACUUUGUUUAAUAUAUAAAGGUAAGUGAUAAUUGUAGCAAUUCUUGCUACUGGAGCAUAGGUAUCAAUGUAAUCAAUACCUUGUUUUUGUGUAAAACCUUUGGCUACCAACCUUGCUUUAAAUUUAUCAAUGGUUCCAUCGACCUUCAUUUUCUUUUUGAAGAUCCAUUUACAACCUAUUAGUUUGGAACCUGGUGGAAGAUCAACUAAGAUCCAUGUUUGAUUUCCCAUUAUUGAAUCCAUCUCAUCAUUUAUUGCUUCCUUCUAAAAAGUAGAGUCUUGAGAUUUCAUUGCCUCUUCAAAUAUAAUAGGAUCAGAUUUCGUAUUAUAAAAAUAAGGUAUCUUAUUGCAUAUACAUUCACCUUUACCUUCUACAAGAAACAUAAUGAAAUCUGGUCCAAAAAUUUUUGACCUUUUAAUCCUCUUACUUCUUCUUAAUUCUUGAGAAGAUUCAUCAUCAUUAUCAAUUUGUUCCAAUGGGAUCUUUUUCUCAUUUGAACAAUGAAUCAAUUGUUGUGGCUGUAAUUGUAACAACUCGGUUUUAGUUAAAUUAGAACAAUGGUUUUGAAACCACAAAUCUGAGGUCAAAAAUUCAUUUUAAUAUUAUUUUUGGUAUUUACAGCAUGUGAUUAUAUAUGUGUAAAAGUUUCGUCAAGAAAUUUUACUGUUUGAAUGCUUAAUUCGGCAAAAGGACUAAAUUGCGUAAAAUGUAAAAGUUGUGUUCUAUAAGCUAAAGGUGUCUAAGAGCUAUAGAACAUUAAAGUAAAGGUCCUUAAGUGGUAAAUAGGAUAUUUAUGAGUUAGUGUAUGAUAGUGGAGUGACAUUUGGUAUAAUUACUAAUGUUUUUAAUGGUAAAAUGGUAAAUAAGUAAAUUAAUGAUAAAAAAAAAAAUUUAAAGCCACCAUCUUUAUUCAUCUUCCCCAACCGAAAUUUACAGCAAUAAGGAAGGCUUUGGGAGCUUGAAACUUUUGGUUAAUAAAUCUCUUGUGUGUAAGUGAUUUUUAAGCCCGUUUUUGAUAAUUUUUAUGUUUUUGAGAUUGUUGCUUCAUGUUCUAGCUAGCCCAUGCCCUAAUUUUUGAAUUGGUUUGAUGAAUUUGUGAGUUACCAUUGAUGAUAGAUUGAUGUUUUUGAAUGUUGAUGAUGGAAAAUGAAUAAUUGUUGAUAGAUAAAUAUGUUUUGUAAAGUGAUUUUUGGCAAAAAUGUCAAAUGGAGAUAAAUUGUGAAAUAUGCCAGUUGAGUGGUUCAAAUGUGAAAUAAAUAAAAGUUUUGGUCUGCUAGGGGCACUAUAGUAAUUCGGCUAAGCUUGGGUUAUAUUGAAUUGUGUAAAUUUUGUAUAUUUGUCAAAUAGGUACUAAAUUGAAUAAAUGUGAAACUUUAGGGGCUAAAGUGCAAAAAUUUUCAAAUAGGUAUUUUUGGAUGAAAUUGAAUGAAUAGGUGAUUAAAUGAGUUAAAUUUGAAUUCACGUAAAUCAACAAAGAAAGAAAUCAGAUUUAGAUCGGGGGAAAUCGAAAGUUGACGAGUAGUUGAUCCGAUCCGUUCGUUUCUGUAUGAGGUAAGUUCAUAAGUAAAUAAAUAUUUUUGAAUUCAAAUAUAUAUGUUUUGUAUAUUGCCGAAUUGAUUUAUAUGUAUAUAUAUACAUUGUCGAAUUGAUUUGUCUAUGUAUAUAUAUAUUGCCGAAUUGAUUUGAGCAUUGGAUGACUGGUUUCGUGCAUGUAUUGAUUUAAUUACGAAGUCGAAAGCUCCGAAUGAAUCUUAGGAAAUGUAUAGGAUGAUGAUUUCAUGAUAUUAGGACUUCCGAGGUGUGAUUUCGUGUAAGACCAUGUUUGAGACAUUGGCAUCGAAGUGAGAAAAUCUAUAAGACCAUAUCUGGGAUAUGGCAUCGGCAUUGAUUUAAGAUCCCGUAUAAGACCAUAUCUGGGAUAUGACAUCGACAUCGAUUCGAGAUCCCAUAUAAGACCAUAUCUGGGAGAUGGCACUGGCAUUGAUUUGAGAUUUCGUAUAAGACCAUAUCUGGGAUAUAGCAUCGUUAUGAGACUUCGUGUAAUACCAUAGCUGGGAUAUUGGCAUCGAUAUGAGAUUUCCAUGUAAGACCAUGUCUGGGACAUGGCAUUUGUACGAUACAUUAUGUACGAGUUUUCCCGAGUAUCCUUAGUAUUCCAAGUGGUUCAACAGGUAAUCCAAAGAUUAUGUCAAAGAAAAGACAAGGUAUGAUCAUAUUGAAUGGAUACAGGUAUGUACGAAAAAUUCAUGAGUAAUGAACUCAAUGUAUUUUGGACAUUUGAUAAGAAUGUAAAUGAGUAAGUCAUACUUGUAAGAAUGAUAUUGUGAUGACCUUGUGAUUAUAGGUCUAUACUUAUGAGGUAUAGAUUUGUGGUAAAUUUGAUUGAUGAUUGUGCGAGGCUUUUAGGCCAAAUUAAAUUGAGACAUGAUAUGUUUAAGUCUUUGUUGUUGAUGUAUAGGUGAAAUUGGCCAAUGAUUGGCAUGUAAAUAUAUGAUAAUGAUUAGCUAUUGGAAUGGCUAGUUAUGGAUAUGUUUUGGUGUUAUGUGUGUCUAAAUAAAUGUUAAUACAAAGAAAUCAUGAAAGAGUAAAAUUUGCAAUAAAAUAGUUUUGGACAACAGCUGUUGUAUAAAUUUGAAAAAUCACCAAAAAUUGUAGGAAUUGCAUUAGAGGUUGAAUAAGACAUUAAAAUGAAUAUUAUUGAGUCUAGUUUCACAUAGAAGAAACGGUGUAAGCAAAAAAAUAUGAUAUUAUGAGAUAUUUGAAUUUUUGUGAGAUAAGGUUAGAAUGAUUUCGGAAUCCCCAAUUCUGAUUUUGGAAAAUUAUUAAACAUUGUAUAAAAACAAUUAUGGGUUAUAAUUUAUAUGAUUAAAAUUCUUAAUGAGUCUAUUUUCAAUAGAAACAAACGGGAAUAUCAUUCUUAAUUUUGAAAAUUUUAUGGUAAGAAGAUAUGUGAGUCUAGUUUUGGUAAAAUCAAGUGGAUCUUAAUUUGGAGUUCUGUAGCGCAAGAUAUAAAUAAUUUAGGUAAAAUCAAGUGGAUCUUAAUUUAAAGUUCUGUAGCACAAGAUAUAAAUAAUUUAGUGACUAUCACUUGAGUAGACAGCUUGAUGUAAACAUGAGUAAAUAGUGCAACUCUGUGCAAUUUUGAUUGUAUUACCUUGAGAUAUGUUGUGAGGAUUGGUAAAAGCAUGCUAACAGAUUUCUUAUUGUUUACUUACCAACUUACUAAGCUAUAUAGCUUACCCCCUUUCUUUCUUUUUCCUAUAGUGUCACAGAUACUAGCUCGGGUUGGAGAUCGUCGAAGAUUCUAUCACACUAUCAAGCUAUUGAUCGAUAUCAACAUAUUCAAACAUUUUAAGUUUAUGGCAUGUAUAGGGACUCAGUCAUUUUGUGUAUGAGUUAUUAUGUUUUGGCCAAAUGUUUUGGUUUGUAAUGGUUAAAGGUUUGAUUUUAUGUGUAGCCAUGUAACUUGACUUAUAUUGGCUAAUUGGUUGUAAGCCUAUAUAUAUAUUAAUUAUAUGCCAAUGUCUUGUGAUGUGAGUUGCGUUUGCAUGAUACAUGAUGAGUUGUGGGUAUGGCCUAAAUUCCUAAUGGUUGUAUGUGCUGCAAGUCUUGAUGUCCAAUGGCUAAGUUUUACUCAAUGGUAUGGUAUGUUAAUUAGAUAUAAUUAUGCUAGUAUAAGAGUUGUUGAUGAUGUAUAUGUAUAAAUAGUUUUAAAUUGAAUGAAAUUUUAUGGCCCGGUUUUGUAUGGUUGCUUAUGUUUAAGACAGGUAAUGCCUCGUAUCCUGUCCCGACGUCGGACACAGGUAAGGGAUGUUACAGUAAUUGUCUUGAUAUAAAAUUAAAUCUAUUUUAAUCAAAAAUAGCAUCUCUUGAUUCAAUAACAGUAUUAAUUGAAACUGAAUCAUUUGGUUCAAUUACCAUGAACCUAUAUGCCUUGCUAUUAUGUGCAUAACCUAUAAAUAUGCAUUCAAUUCCUCUUUCACCUAACUUUUUACAUUUAGGUGUUGGAACUUUGACAAUAGCUCUAUAACUGCAAACCGUCAAAUAAUUAAUGUUUGGUUUCCUUUUCUUCCAUUGUUCAUAGGGGGUUAUUUUAGUUUCCUUAUUAGGAACUCUAUUCAAUAUAUGACAAGCUGUUAGAACAGCUUCUCCCCAAAAACAUUAUCCAAGACUUGAAUAUGAUAACAUUGAAUUUACCAUUCUAGUUAAGACUUUAUUUUUCCUCUCAAGUACGCCAUUUUGUUGUGGGGUGUAAAGGGAUGAAACUUGAUGGACAAUUCUAGUGGAUUCAAAAUAACUUGGAUUAUAGUAUUCUCCACCUCUAUCUGAUCUUAAGCACUUGAUAAAUGAUUCACACUGAAGUUCAACUUCAGAUUUAUAACUUUAAAUUUAUCAAACGCUUCAUCUUUUGAAUGCAAUAAAUAUGCAUAACAAUAUCUAGAACAAUCAUCAAUAAAAGUAACAAAAUAUUUCUUUCCACCUAACGUAGGAGUAUUAUGCAUGUCACAUAAAUCAUUAUUUAUCGAAUCAAGCAAUUUUGUUUUCCUUUUAACCUUAGGGAAAGGGUUUCUUGUAAUUUUAGUCAACAUACAUGUAUUACAUUUUUCAAUAUUAUUAUUAAAAAUAUGAAUUAAAUUUAACUUAUACAUGUCAUUCAAUUUUCUAUAAUUCAAAUGACCUAAUCUAUAAUGCCACAAAUAAAAAGAUUCAACCAUUUAAGUAGAAAUAGUAUUUUUAUUCUUGAGUUUGAACAUACUCAUACAUAUACCCUUUCCCCAUAAAAAUUCCUCCCUUAGACAAAAUAAACUUAUCUGCCUCAAAAACAAGUUUGAAACCAAACUUAUUCAACAAACUUUCAGACACUAAAUUCUUCCUAACUUCUGGUACAUAAUAUACAUCAUUUAAGGUUCAAACUUUUCCAGAAGUGAAUUGUAGUUCAAGAAACCCUUUGUCUUUGAUUGCUGCGGUGUAAGAAUUUCCCAUGUACAAGACAUUGUCAUUUUCACAUUGUGUGAACUUUGUGAACAUGCUUUUGUCUUUCACACAUGUUUGGUUACUCCGGUAUCAAUCCACUAUGUAUUAUCAUCUUGUGCCAUAUUAAUUUCAAAUAUCAUUGCAACGAACUUUUCGUUAUUAUCAGCAUUAGAAGAUGAUUUCUUCCUUAAAAAUCGACAUGCAUUCUUGAAAUGUCCUAGCUUUCUACAAUGAUAGCAUGAGCCUUUUUGUUCCUUUUUGAACUUAGGUGCUCUAUCAGUCUGUUUGAACUUUCUCUUCAAUGGUUUAGUAGUUUGAACUUCCUCCGUAACAUGCACUUUGGCAUUUUCAAAAUUUAGGUUAUGAUCUUGUUUUUGAUAUUCUUCUUCAAUACGAAGAUGAUUUGCCAAAGCCUCAAGAGAUAUUUCCUCUUUCUUAUGUUUUAGACUUCUUUUAAAGUCUUUCCAAGAUGGAGGAAGUUUGUGUAUUAUGGAGGAUACAACAAUCAUUUCAUCCAUUUUCAUAUCAUAUUGUUUGAACUGAUUUAGCAUCUUUUCAAUAUCAUGGAAUUGUUCCAUAACAGAACGACCAUCAACCAUUUAAUAAUUAUUGAAACGACUGACAAGAAAUUUCUUACUUGUAACAUCUUCGGUCAUGUAUCUUGUCUCCAAUUUUUCCCAUAAUUCUUUAGCGAUGACCUCGUUUUGGCAGGUGUCGAACAAACCAUCAAAUAAACCAUUCAAUAUGUGGCCCAUGCACAUGUAAUCAGCAUUGUCCCAUUUUUGUUUUUCUAUAAUUGUAGCAACAGAUUAGUUAUCAUUCUCUUUAGGUUUAGGAGUAUCCAAAACAUAAGCAAUCUUCAAAGUUGAUAAUAAGAAGUGCAUCUUUUUUUGCCAUCAUCGAAAAUUGCCACCAUCAAACCGAUCAAGUUUGACAAAGUUGGAAGCCAACUCCCUUAGUAUUCCACUUUCAUGUGUUAUGGUAGUCAUCAUGAAUUAUAGAACCUUAAAAUUGUUAGUACAAAACUCUGGUGAAGAAAAUCUUGAACACACGAACAAAACUCGAACAAAAAAAAGAAAUAGGACAAGGCUCCAAGGCGUGUAUCAAGUCACUAUCUUUAAGGUUAUAUUCACCCCCACCUAUAUUCGGUGUGCAAAUGAGUUCCAAGAAAAUUAACCUCAAGGAUACAAUGAAGCUAAUGACUAUUUACAUUUUGGACUGACGAGAACAGCCCACUACACACUGAGCAAUGUAUGACAAGAAACUCAAUUUCUAUAAAGGAUUUCUAUUGAACUGCACAAUUAACAUACACCAAUAUGACAUCACCACAAGAAGAGCACACUUUACUAAUGAUAGAAAACCAUAGCCCAAAGCAGAAAACAAGAAGUGAGAGAGCAAGUUAUAUCUUAAAACAAACACUACUACGAAACCCUUCUCAACAUGGAAAACACCACAUCAGAAACUAUGACAAAUAGCGGCUCCACCCAUAAUCCAAAACCAAGCAACUAACUAUAGUGAUCACCCUUGCUAAAAAAACCUUUACAUAAAUCAACGAGCAAGCAUUGGACUUCACCCCAAGUAAGAAAAUGAUCCAUCAAACCUUGAAAAAGCUUUAGACACCAUCACUUAUCAGUAGAUAAGAAACCUAAAAUAGAGCCAACACCAGCAACACCUUAUCAAGACCAACAGCUAGAAAAAAUCUCAAUGGAACCGAUAUCAAAGGAAACUCAAUGUCAUAUCGGCUUCCAUAAAACUUUCAAACCACCCCACUAUAGCUCUUAAGACUGACGAUAACCGUACUUUAAAAUCACCAAAGCAUCCACUUCGAGAGACACCUUCAAUCAUAACACAAUGAAUAGACUCAAAUUCAAUUCUAUAAUCACAACAUACCAAAAAAGACAGAAGCCAUUUUCAAUAAAAUAACAGCCUCAACCGAUCAGUAGGCCAUAAAAGGCACAAAACACCAUAAUGCAUCAUCCAACCUCAGCAACAUACAAAUUGUUUAUCAUGGUGUUAUAAUCAAUCUUGGGUUCAAACCCACUAUAAGUAUAUUUUUAUUGGUUUCUGUUAAAAUAAAAAGACUAAAAUACUCAAUUAACUUGUGACACCAACUUAGUUAGGAGCUUAAAUAAUAAUAAGUAUAGAUACAAUUGAUGAAUAUAAUAAAAUAUGCAUAUUAAAAUAAAAAUAUAUAAACGAUAUUAAAAUAAAGUUUUAAUGGUGAUAUACUUGAAGUUUUAUUAUUGUGAUUGUCUUAGGUUCAAAUCCCCUCAUAUUCAUUUUUAAUUAUUUUUUUUAAAAUAAAAAGAUUAAACUACCCUCGAACAAUAUAACUUAUUCUAAUUAUGAAAAAAUAUUUUCGUAAUUUCUCUAACUGAAUUGGCGACACCAAUUCAGUUAGGGACUUAAAUAAUAGUAUAGAUAAUAUAAUUUUUGGCCCUCAACUUGGGAAUUAGAUGCACUUUAAUAUUGUAUUAUUUUUUUCCAAUUUUAUAACUAAACUUGGCAAGUAAAUUCAAGUGGUCAUUGAACUUGGAUUCUAUCAACAUUUGAUGAUGUGACUGGUGUUAUUGAAACAAAAUCAGAUCAUUCGGUCAAAUUGACUGAACUGAAAAGCGAUUGGUAUAACGGUCCAAACAAAGGGGUUGAACUGAUUGAAUCGGAAAUUGGUCAAAAUUGACAAUUUAAAAAAUUAUUUUAACUUUAUUUUUAGAUUUUUAGGAAUUUUUAAUUAAUUAUUUAAUUAUUAUUGGUCUAGCAGUCGAACCGAUUGAAUAAGAAAUCAAUAGUUUUAUCUUUUAACCACCGGUCCGAUUAUUAAAACACUAGAUGCGAUACUGUGAGAUUGUAGCACAUCAUCACCUAAAAUUUUAUAUAAUUUUUUAAUUUUCAAGUGAUAUAUGUGAUCAUGUCACAUAAUCAAACUUUUAAAUUUUGUAUGUUCAGGGAUUAAAAUAGACCUAAUUGUUAAAUUCAAAUGAUAAAGUGGGCUAAAAAAAUCCUGGUAGCCAAUAAUAGAAAAAAUAUACUAUUUAAAAAAUAAUAAUUAAAGCGGACCCACUUGGUGAUAUUGCUCUUUUUCCAUAGUUCCCGACAAUAUUGUAUCCGUCUAUAUGUCUUAAAUAUGCUGCAACCAGCAAAAUUUGUUUUCUAAUAUUUGGCAAUUUUUACUUGCAAGACAACGAUGAAAAACACUUAAAUAAUCAGUACAGUCCUCCUCAAUAAUUGUAAGUCGUAAUAGACCUGAUAUUUUGGCUUAUAAUAAUGUCUCACAUUUACUUUCAUAUCUAAUCUUGAUGUUUUUAACAAUAGCGUAGAGUAGUGGACAUGCUCUUAAAUUAAUAAUAGUAAAAUUAUAUUUUAUCCUUAAAAAAAAUAAAAUUUAAUUUAAUUCAAUUCUUUAAAAAUUAUAAAGAUGUAUACUAUUAAAAAUUAUAUUUUGUUUAUUUACGUUAUCACGUGUUACCUGUGUAGAAAAUGAAGAUUUUGACAAUAAAAAAGAAUAGUGUGGUGAGAAUGGAGGGUUAGAAAGGAAUAAUGCUUCAUUAUUUUAUUCAUUCCCAAAAAGAGGGAUAUAUGAUAUAAGUAAAUGCAAGGAAUGAACGCGUAUAAAAUUUAGACAUGUUACUUAUCCACCUGAAUGGCAUCAUAGACUGGUGUUUUGGCUUUUAUAAUAUUAAUCUCUCACAUAUACGACCAACCUACCCUGAACAUAUGACGAACCCAUUUGCGUCAUUGCAAACGCAAUUUUGGUCCUUAUGCUAUAAUAAAGGAGGAAAUGGUUCUGGUUUAGAGAAGAAAAAUGAAUGCGCUGAUGAUGCUUCUAAUUCUUGCUCCAUGUUGCUUCUUCUUCAUAGCUUUAAUAAAGUUACUUUAUGAUUACCUAUGGAUACCCCUCCGUAUUCAGCAUAUGCUGAAUUCACAAGGGAUCAAAGGACCUCCUUACAGAUUCAUCCAUGGCAACAACAAGGAAGUUACCAAAAUGAAACAAAAAGCUUUAAGUAAAUCUGUGGGCUUGACAGAUGAUUUAUUUCCCAAAGUACAGCCACAUAUUUACACCUGGACCAACAGAUAUGGUAAGAUCCAUGCUUGUUUUUUUCAAUAUGAUUUAUAACUUGUAGUUCUAAGAAAAGGUAGACCCUUUUUCUUUUCAUGUUAUUAGGGAAGAAUUUUGUUUAUUGGAACGGUGCUCGAGCUGAAUUGGUGAUUUCAGAGCCUGAAUUAGUCAAAGAGGUUCUGAAAAAUAGUGAACAAAUUUUUCAGAAAAAGAAACUUUCAGAUAUUGGUAGGAAGUUCUUGGGGAAUGGGCUUAUAUUCAUUGAGGGGGAAAAAUGGGCAAAGCAUCGAAAGCUGGCCAAUCACACUUUCCAUGGGGAAAGCCUAAAGGUAAGUCUUCCAAAUAUAUAAACUAGGUGUAAUUAAUUUACAAGAAUUAUACAUAGACUACAAUAUUUUGGUAAAAUUUUGUAUUGUUAGCUAAGGAUAAAUUUAUUAUGGACGUUGAAUUUUAGACUUAAUGUUGUAAAAUAAAAGAUUGAGUAAGAGAUUUAAAAAAAUAUAUAAUUUCAUUAAAAAGCACUCUUUUAACUUAUUGACUUGGAUUAAAAUCUAGUUUGAAAAGGUGUUUAUUUGUCAAAUUGUUUAAUUUGAAAUCAUGAUUUUGUGUUGAAAAGUGUUUUUCUGACUCCAAUUAUAUAUGUCACUACUACUUACAUAUAGGAGGAUUGUUUGGGCAGAACAUGACUCCAGCAAUAAUUGCUAGUGUUGAAACAAUGCUAGAAAAGUGGAAAGGCCAAUAAGGCAAAGAGAUUGAACUGUACCAAGAAUUUAGGUUAUUAACUUCAGAAGUGAUUUCCAGAACAACAUUUGGUAGCAAUUACAUGGAAGGGGAGAAGAUAUUUGCCAUCUUGAGCAAGUUGGCAGUAAUUAUGAGUCGAAAUGUUUCCACGACUAGAAUUCCUUUGAUCAGGUAUCUUCCCUCUAAGCUUAAUUAAUCCCAACUUUUACCUUGAUUUCAACUAGCUUUUGAAUGCAACUUUUAGACUUUCAUUCCCCAUGGAUUUGGUUUUCUCCUUAUAUAUAGCUGACCCUGGUUUGCUUUUGCAGCAAGUUGUGGAAAUCUGCUGAUUUGCUAGAGUCUGAAAAACUUUCAAAAGAAAUAAAAGAUCGUCUGAUGAAGAUUGUUAAGAAAAGAGAAGACAAAGUUGUGAAUGGAGAAGUCAAUAGCUUCCGCAGUGAUUUUUUUGGAUUACUUCUAAAUACCUAUCAUGAUUCGGAUGCGAAAAACAGGAUUUCAUUGGAAGACGUGGUAGCUGAAUGCAAAACAUUCUUUUUUGCUGGACAAGAAACUGUUAAUUCCUUACUUGCAUGGAUAGUCUUGCGCAUUUGGCAAUCCAUGGAGAUUGGCAAGAAAAAGCGAGAAGAGAGGUGGUUGACAUAUUUGGUAACCAAAAUCCACAUCUCGAAGGCAUCGCCAAACUCAAAAUAGUAAGAAAACUAUCUAACUGGGAAUUCAAAUAGCCAUCGACAUGAUGUAAUCUGACAUAUUUUUCUAUUUUCCAAACAGAUGACCAUGAUCAUCAAUGAAGCUCUAAGAUUGUAUGGUCCAACAGGUGUCCUCCAAAGAACAGUUACAAGAGAAAUUCAGUUGGGAAAGCUACUCUUGCCUGCUAAUAUAGAUAUUCUGCCUUUAAAUAUUGGACUUCAUCGUGACCCUCACUUUUGGGGAAAUGAUGUGCAUCAUUUUAAACCUAAGAGAUUCGCUGAAGGGAUUGCCAAAGCUACCAAUUACACCGCGGCUGCCUUUUUCCCCUUCGGAUUAGGACCUCGAUCUUGUGUUAGUAUGACAUUUGCAAUGAUAGAAACCAAGAUUGCUCUCUCCAUGAUUCUACAACGCUACACCAUUAUCCUUUCCCCUGCUUAUGUCCACUCUUCAAUACUUAUUCUCAACUUUCAACCCCAAAAUGGAAUUCAAGUAAUACUUGAGCCGAAUACAUAGUAAUGCUUGAAGUACAUAGCCGUUAAGAACUAGAGGUUUAACAUGGUUCAUGUAUUUUACUUUUAAGAGAUGAUAUUUAAUAUGUUUAAAGGUUCUAGCAUUCAUCAUUAAAGACAAACGACUUGUGGCCAUGUUUACUUUUUAUCUAUCAUGCAAUGUCGAUAAGAAGAUAUCAUUUACCUUUUAGUUGGGUUAUGAAUUCUACUAUUGUGAAUGAUGUUACAUACUAUACAAGUUCUAUACCCAAUGCACCAACUUUCGGUUCUUUAUCUAUUUGAACUUAGCCUUUUACUUGCAUCAAAGUAUACGAGUCAUGCUUGUAUAGUCCACCAUCCACUCAAGAUUAAGGUAUAUCACACAAUGAACAUCACAAGUAAAUAGAUCCAUAAAUGGAUCUAGAAUCUAUUCUACUUGGGUCUUUUCUGAUGUAUUGUCAGUCCAGUCAAUCACAUCUAUGUCUUUAUCUUUUAGGAGUUAUCUGUUCCAUUUAAGACAAAGCAUCUCCACAAUUGGGUUUGAUAGACGACAUCUUAGUUUUUCAAUCGAUUUGCUCAAUUUUGAUUAGACUAAGGACAUAUUUAGGUUUAUAUACUAAUACAAGCUAUCUUUCCAUAUCAAGAUCUGACCACGUAAUACCGCUUAGUAUUAAUUUAAACAAUAGAUAACCAAUGAGCCAAUAUUUGCUUCCAUUUUGCUUUGUGUGCAAAAACAUUGAGGACAAUAUGCAAAGGGUAUUAAUGUAAUUAAUAGAUAUUAUUAAACCAAUUUGUUUGAAAAAUACAAUUAUAUAAAACGAAUAUAGUACACUUAGUGUACCAAAUCCAACAAUGGCCACUACAGCUAGCAUUGCCAUAAGCAACAUAACUUGACAUUUUUGGAGUUGAAAUCUUUUUAACAAAAUCAGUUGGGCAACGACUUAGAUGAUUUUGUGGACAUGUGUUGGCUCAUAUUUGAAGAUCCAUUUUGUGGAGCAAUCAAUCUGUUAAGAUUAAAUCAAUCUGAAUCAAGCAAAUCGGAUCACUUAUUUUGUGGAGAUUGGCUUGACUUAUUUUAAAAUUUAUUUUCGAAAUCUUUGAUUUAUUCUUAACUUUCAGGAUAUUUGUAAAAUUUGAUAACACUCUAGAAUAACGUAUUUUUAUGUAUUAAUUAUGUAUUUAUUUUGAAUAUGAUCCUGCUAAUUUGAGCUAUUUAUGAUAUUUUAUCUCAUAGGGACUAAAUUUGAGACAAAAGCAAAAUUAAGGGCCAAAAGUGUGAAUUUAGAGAUAAAAUGGGCCAAUGUGCGACACAAAUAAAAGUUGGUGCCAAAAGUGCAAGCAUGGAGGACACAAGGGUUGAAAUGCAAAAAAAAGAGAUUUUAUUCUAUCAAACUCUAUUUUAAUUAUAUUAGGAUAAUUAAUAUUAAGAUAAUUAUUAAGGAUUAUCUAAUUUUAGGAUUUUAUUUUAUUUAUCUUCAAUUAAAUGUAUUUAUCUUUUGGAGUUUAAGUAGGAUUAGACUAUCUCCCCUAGCACUAUAAAUAGGGGUAAAGUAACUCAAAAAUGAUGUAAACACUCUCUCCCCCAAAAGUCUAGGCUUUUGUUCUCCUCAUAUUUCCUUUCAAUAAAAUCUCUAUUUUUAUUUUAUUUAUUUUCUUUUUCACCACAACCAUGAGCCACUAAACUCAUCUAGCUGAAAGUUGUCGAUAUUUUCCAAAAAGGGUUCUCGAGGCCUAGAGUCCGUACUUAGCCUCCUCGCUGAGUAUUCAUUGUUUCUCUGCACUACGGGGCUGACGCUUCCGUCCAUGUCCCUUAAGAAGUAAGAUUUUCAAUGUAUGCAAAGGCGACUGCUUUGUAUGUUUUAGGAAGAUUGCAUAGUCAAUUCGUUAACUUACUGCGUUAGAGGUUAGUGAGCCCAAGAGACAAAAUGGCAUGGGAUUCACCAUUGAGAAUCGCUGAUCUAGCAUAAGACGAUCCCAUAGAAGCAAUUGUUGGCUAGAGUCAGGUUUCACUAAAUCGUAAGUCUAAAUCCUUAGAGCUGGUGGUCGUAGGCGUCCUCUUCCACUAUAACUGGCUUAUUCGGUUUAGGAAGGAUCAUCUAAAAGUUGAGGAUUGAACCCAAGGCGGAACGAGAAAGCUGGAGGUUAGAAUCUCCCAUAAGAAUUUUCUUUCUCUUAACUUUAUUUUUAAUUUCUCGAAUUUUUGAUUCAAUAUUCUUAAUUUUGUUUUUAUUUUAUUUUUCGUUUCCAGACCCAAACCUUUAAUUCUAUUUUUUUUAUUUUUUUUCCAGGAACGCAGGUUUUCUCGGGAAAGAUUCUGCCUGGGAUUUCACAAAAUAAGAUAUUGUGCAAAUCCAGUCCCUAAGGAUUUUACCUUACUUUCCUUUUACUAUUCUUUUUCAUUAUUUAUUAGGGAUAGGAUAUUUUUUGUGCUUUCAACAACCGCAUUAGUAAAGUUUUUUUUACGAGGCUAUUUUUUGUGGGAUAUUGAUUCGAAUUGAUCUUUAUCUUUGCAAACAUUAAAUUCUUAUAUAUUAGAGGCUUGUGUAAGUUAAAAUAAGAUAGAGUUUCUAUUGCACUUAUUUUUUUCAUUGAGGAACUUGUAAUUGAUAGUGCAUUAAGAGUGUAAAAUAAGUUUGUUGCUUGGUUUUACAGCCAAAAUUCUCAAGGGAAGAACUUAGUGGUGAAUGAUUUAGAUAUUUAGAUACAAAAGUGAGGUUGCUAUACCGAGUUGUGAUAGGACUUAAAUAACUUGUUGUCUUGGGAUUAAAAAUAAUGGAUUUACUCAUUAAGUUAGGUUCCAUAGACAUAGAAAAAUCGAUAUGCAUAAACAAUCAUUUGUGUUCUAUUUUUUGUUGUUGUGUUCAUCAUAGUGGCAUCAAAGGUUGCCAUUACAACCAUCACUUUGUCAUCAAUUACUCACUUUAUUUUUUUAAGCAAUUAUCAACUACAUGCGCCAAGAGAAUGCUUGUUUCCAGUACUAUUGAUCAAAAUUUUGUAGGAAGCAUAAUGACAAAAAAGGAAAUGAUUACAAUCAACCCCUUAUGUAACAAUUCCAUUUGUAUGUUUGCAUGUUAUAAAAUGGUGGUUGUUAUAUACUACAACAUGUUGUUAUAAAAAGAUAAUUAUUGUAAACCUAAAAUAGAAUUUACAUUGCGAAUUACUAUCAUAUAAAGAAGGUGGGAAUUAUAUUAAAAAAGGAAAGUAGAAACCAAUUCAACAAAAUUAAAAGAUGUAUAAUAGGUGCAUGCAUUAUUACCUUUAUAUUUUAUUUUACAUUUUUCACAUGAUUAAUCGAUAUGAGUUUAAAUUAAAUUAAUUAAUUUAUCAUGUGUCAUUAAAUUCAAGUAAUUAAUUUAUAAGAUUAUGAUGUUCCAAAUUUAUAGUAGAAUAUUUAAUUAGAGAACUUAAUAGUUUAUUGAAUUGAUAUCUUUAAUUCCACUCAUUGAAGAUUUUGUCAUGUGAAAUUUAAACAUUUUAUUAAAAUAAUAUUUUAUGAUUGUUUAUGAUAAACUUAGGAUUUUUAAUAGUGUUUAUAUAUGUAUUAUGUUAAGAUACAUAAUGAUAAAACUAGAGUUUGUGGUAUGUUUUGAGAUGAUAGGCUUCACGAUUAUGUGAUUUAUUGUCCUUAGCUAAUUCAAAUAUAGAUUAAUGAGGUUGGUUUAAUAUAUGUUGUAGGGAACAACGAAAAUGGGAAAAAAUUAAAUAUUACCCUAAAACAAAUUGAUAAUUAAUAUAGUUAAAUUAAAUCCAUUUUGUUUUGGCAAAUGAAAAUCAUUGGUUUAAAAGGUUUGAGAAUUGAGGAACCUUUGCAAAACAUAAUGCGAUAUCAUCACUGUUUAUAGGAGCUGAGUAUAAAUAUUCUCUUUUCAUGUCUUUGUUGUUGGGUUUUUAGGUCUUUUUGUGACAAUUAUCAUUCCUCUCAUUUCAAUAUUUAUGAUAAUAAUACCUGUAAAGCACGUUGGUCAUGUCUUAUUUUUACUAUUUAUGUAAACAUGAUUCCCGUAUAAACUAUACUAAAAUUCGUAUUAUUGUAGUACUUAUUAUUAAAGUUUCAGUCCUGUGACAAUUGGUAUUGGACUGAGAUUUGAAGCUACCAGUUGAGAUGACAAAAGGAGUAGAAGAGCAGAUUGAACCCAGAGAGACCAUGGGAGGGGCAGGAGCUAUUUAUAUAUUUUUGAGAUGUUGAUAUCUUCCAGAGCCAUUUAUGACCACACACGAUAAUGGGUAAGAUAGGGUCCUACCUGACUUAUGGUUUAUCUGUUUUGAAGGGGGAAAUGGUUUUGUUUUAGAGAAGAAAAAUGAAUGCGUUGAUGAAACUUCUAAUUCUUGCUCCAUGUUUCUUCUUCAUAGCUUUAAUAAAGUUACUUUACGAUUACCUAUGGAUACCUCUCCGUAUUCAGCAUAUGCUGAAUUCACAGGGGAUCAAAGGACCUCCUUACAGAUUCAUCCAUGGCAACAACAAGGAAGUUACCAAAAUGAAACAAAAAGCUUUAAGCAAAUCUGUGGGCUUGACAGAUGAUCUAUUUCCCAGAGUACAUCCACAUUUUUACACCUGGACCAACAGAUAUGGUAAGAUCCAUGCCUGUUCUUUCACUAUGAUUUAUAACUUGUAGUUCUAAGAAAAGGUAGACCCUUUUUCUUUUCAUGUUAUUAGGGAAGAAUUUUGUUUAUUGGAACGGUGCUCGAGCUGAAUUGGUGAUUUCAGAGCCUGAAUUAAUCAAAGAAGUUCUGAAAAAUAGUGAACAAAUUUUUCAGAAAAAGCAGCUUUCAGAUAUCGGUAUGAAGUUCUUGGGGAAUGGACUUAUAUUCAUUGAGGGGGAAAAAUGGGCAAAGCAUCGAAAGCUAGCCAAUCACACUUUCCAUGGGGAAAGCCUAAAGGUAAGUCUUCCAAAUAUAUAAACUAGAUGUAAUUAAUUUACAAGAAUUAUACAUAGACUACAAUAUUUUGGUAAAAUUUUGCAUUCUUAGCUAAUUUAUUAUCGAAGUUGAAAAGAUUCGUGAAAAGUAAUUUUGAAAAAUUUGACAGCAUUUACCACUUAAGAUAUCAAUUUUAGAUUUAAUGUUGUAAAGUAAAAAAUAAUUCAGAGAUUUAAAAAAGAAGUCAUUUCAUUGAAAAACACUAUUUUAACUUUUUGACUUAGAUUAAAAUCUAAUUUGAAAUAAAGUUUAGUUUGAAAUUUUGUUUGUUUGCGAAUUUUUCUAAGUUGAAAUCAUGAUUUUGUGUUGAAAAGUGUUUUUCAGACUCCAAUUAUAUAUGUCACUACUACUUACAUAUUGGAGGAUUGUUUCCGCAGAACAUGACUCCAGCAAUAAUUGCUAGUGUUGAAACAAUGCUAGAAAAGUGGAAUGGCCAAGAAGGAAAAGAGAUUGAAGUGUACCAAGAAUUUAGGUUAUUAACUUCAGAAGUGAUUUCCAGAACAGCAUUUGGUAGCAAUUACAUGGAAGGGGAGAAGAUAUUUGCCAUCUUGAGAAAGUUGACAGUAAUUAUGAGUCGAAAUCUUUCCAAGACUAGAAUUCCUUUGAUCAGGUAUCUUCCCUCUACGCUUAAUUAAUCCCAACUUUUACCUUGAUUUCAACUAGCUUUUGAAUGCAACUUUUAGACUUUCAUUCCCCAUUGAUUUGGUUUUCUCCUUAUAUAUAGCUGACCCUGGUUUGCUUUUGCAGCAAGUUGUGGAAAUCUGCUGAUUUGCUAGAGGCUGAAAAACUUUCAAAAGAAAUAAAAGAUCGUGUGAUGAAGAUUGUUAAGAAAAGAGAAGACAAAGUUGUGAAUGAAGAAGUCAAUAGCUUUGGCAGUGAUUUUCUUGGAUUACUUCUAAAUGCCUAUCAUGAUUCGGAUGCGAAAAACAGGCUUUCCUUGGAAGACGUGGUAGCUGAAUGCAAAACAUUCUAUUUUGCUGGACAAGAAACUGUUAAUUCCUUACUUGCAUGGAUAGUCUUGCAUUUGGCAAUCCACGGAGAUUGGCAAGAAAAAGCGAGAAGAGAGGUGAUUGACAUAUUUGGUAACCAAAAUCCACAUCUCGAAGGCAUCGCGAAACUCAAAAUAGUAAGAAAACUAUCUAACUGGGAAUUCAAAUAGCCAUCAACAUUAUGCAAUCUAACAUAUUUGUCUAUUUCCUAAACAGAUGACCAUGAUCAUCAAUGAAACUCUAAGAUUGUAUGGUCCAUCAAAUGGCCUGGCAAGAGCAGUUACAAGAGAAGUUCAGUUGGGAAAACUACUCUUGCCUGCUAAUAUAGAUAUUCUGCCUUUAAAUAUUGGACUUCACCGUGACCCUCACUUUUGGGGAGAUGAUGUGCAUCAUUUUAAACCCGAGAGAUUCGCUGAAGGGAUUGCCAAAGCUACCAAUUACACCACGGCUGCAUUUUUUCCCUUCGGGUUGGGACCUCGAUCUUGUGUUGGUAUGACAUUUGCAACAAUAGAAACAAAGGUUGCUCUCUCCAUGAUUCUACAACGUUACACAAUUACCCUCUCCCCUGCCUAUGUCCACUCUCCAAUACCUAUUCUCACCCUUCGACCACAACAUGGAAUUCAGGUAAUACUUGAGCCGAUACAUAGUAAUGCUUGAAGUACAUAGCUGCUAAGAAAUAAGGGUUUAACAUGGUUCAUGUAUUUUAGUUUUAAAAGAUGACAUUUAAUAUGUAUAAGGUUCUAGCAUUUGCAACCCCUUCCCUCCUAUGGUGUGCCCACCUUCAUACAUAAUGAAAUGCAAGUAGCUACUUAUUUCCAAGAUGCUAAAACACACAAUCAAUAAAGAAGAAUAUGUCGAGGCAAGUUUUGGGAGCAGUGACUCGAGAAAUGACAACUGCGUUUGGCACGCGCAGGUCACAUAACUUUUAGCAUGUUUGAAAAAAAAUAUUUUGAUUACUUGCUUGCAUCUUUUUUAGGAUUUUGUGCAUCCAAUCUUGUGUUUAUUAUUUAAUUAAUCUCAGAUUGAUUUUUCUUAAACUAGUGGUUAUACUAAGGCUUGUUAGCGGAUUAAACUUUGUGCAAAACACUAUAGAUGUAGAUGUGUUUCCCGUGAUGGGAUUUGUAUCUACUAAAAAUAAAUUCCUACACUUGAAACCAAAAUUAAAUUUGUAGUAUAUAGAGUAGGGUUGAUCCCACAAAGGUUGAUCUAUCCAAAUUUCUAUUUCUUUAUAACUAGAACGUGUCCCGAGCAGUUUUUAUGCCCAUGACUUGUGCCAACCUAUACGAAAAACUAAGGGGAAUUAAAUCUGAAAAAUAAAUAAACAACAAAAAUAAAUUAAUAAUUAAAAUGAAGUAGAAAUAAGUAAAAUGAAAUUAAAAUUGAAUAAACCGAUAAAACAAAAGCUUUAGCUUCAAGCUCGAUUUUGACUUAGUCUUCAAACUGAUCACGGAGAAUGAAUUUUUUUUCCUUUAAUUAAUAAGUCAAUUAUAGAUGCCAAGGAACGAACCUCAAAGCACCUAAUUCUUCCAUAGUGGUAAAUUAAUUGCGGGAACAGCUCGACGGCUAAGCCUUAUCAAGUGAAUAACCUUGAAAGUAGCAUUGGUGAUUUAAUUCAUUGGUAGCCUUGCAAACUAAAAGAACCUGACUCAAAUCAACGGCCUCAAUUGUAUGAGUCAUUUAAACUUAAUUAUUAACUUCUUUGAUGGAUCCAACCACUCACGCCAUUUGUCAUGUCAAUUUGUAAUUCAGUGGAUCUAAUACAACAAUUACGGAUAGCAUCGAUUCUCUAACUUUAUGUCGUUCAACACUAAACCAAGGGACUCUUCUUGAUUUUGAUGCUAAAAUAACAUUGAGAAGUGAUCAAGUUUAUCUUUUAAAUUGGAGAAUUAACGAAUACCGAAAUGGAGAAUAUAAAUACGAUUUUAAAAGUUCACUGUUCAAAUAUUGGAUCAAUUAUCAAUCUAAAACUAGGUUAAAUUUAACAUCUCAUAAAUUAAAAAACAAGAAAAGAAAAUAGUUGAAGGAGAAUAUUUAAUUGAAAUUAAAAAAACACUAAAAUAAAAUCAAAACAAUAGUUAAAUGAUGAAGUUGCUUUGAAACUGGAGUUACCAUUUUCGUUGGAGGAGAUAACAGAGGCAGUGUGGAGUUGCGAUGAGUCGAAAGCAUCUGGGUCGGAUGGCUUUAAUAUGUGCUUUUUUAGAAAAUGUUGAGAUGUUGUAAAAGAGGAACUUUUUAGAAUGAUGUUAGACUUUUUUAGAUCUAGAAAGCUUGAGAGGAGCAUAAAUUCUUCAUUUAUUGCACUCAUAUCCAAAAUCGAAAAUCCAAAUAAAAUAUUAGAAUUUAGACCAAUUUUUUUGGUGAGCUUGUUGUACAAGAUAGUGGAAACGGUGUUAUCUCGAAGAAUUAGGGAGGUUGUUGGAGAGGUAGUGAGUGAAACACAAUGUAAAUUUACCAGAGGUAGACAAAUAUUCGAUGGAACUUUAAUUGUAAAUGAAAUUAUCCAUUCGAUUAAAAAGAAAGAUGGUAUUGGGGGGCAAUCUGAUUUUUAAACUAGAUUUUUCUAAAGCAUAUAUAUGAUUGUGUUUGUUGGGAUUUUUUGGAGUUAGUUUUACUCAAGAUGGGAUUUGGCGAGAAAUGGAUAGAAUGGAUUAUGGAGUGUGUAUCUAUGGCGAGAGUAGCAGUAAUUAUCAAUGGGUCAACCAAAAAUGAAUUCAGAUUCCGCCGAGGUCUCCAUCAAGGAUAUCCGUUAUCCCUAUUUUUAUUUAUCCUAGUGACGGAAGUGCUACAUUUCUCGAUGGAUAAAGCAGUGGAGAUGGGACUAAUUUAGGGCAUUCAAGAUGUUAUUCCCGUGUAGAUUUUUUCUCAUUUACUAUUCGCGAACGAUACUAUACUAUUCUUGAGAGCAGAUGAAGAUGAGGUGAGAAAUUCGAAGUAUAUUUUAUGGUGUUUUGAGAUCUUUUCAAGUCUUAGUAUCAAUUUCAAAAAAUCAUGUUUAGUAGGAUUUGAUGUGAAUGAAGAACUCUUAUAUCAAAUGGCUACAAUAUGUAAGUGUAAGAUAAGGUUUUUGCCUUUUAAUUAUCCAGGGAUUCUAUCGGGAGCAAAUCUGAGGAGAGUAUCCACUUGGGACGCAAUUGUAGAGAGAUUCAAGAAGAAAUUAUCGGGAUGGAAAUGUCGUCCGCUCUCAUGGGCUGCAAGGAUUGUAUUGAUUAAUGUUGUUUUGUCUGCCUUGCUAAUUUAUUUCAUGUCUAUAUUCCAAGCUCCAGUGACAGUUAUUAAAAGGAUCGACAAGAUAAGGAUAAAUUUUCUUUAGAGGAGUAUAAAUGGUAAAAGGAAGAUGGCAAAGGUAAGCUGGAAACAUAUAUGUAAGCCAAAGGAGAAGGGAGGAGCAGGAGUGGUGAAUCUCAUAAUUAAAAAUAGAGCUUAUUAGCAAAAUAGAGUUGGAGAUUCGCGGUUGAAAAAGACGCGCUGUGGCGAAAACUCAUCCUAGCAAGGUAUGGUUAGCGCACGCAACAGUGGCGCUUUAGGACGACUAAUCUAAAAAAUAUGUCGAUUGUAUGGAGAGGUAUUGUAGAAAAUUCUAAAGACGCUAAUUGUAAUACCCCUAACCCUUAUCCAUCACCAGAAUAGGGUUAUAAAGCUUUACCAGACUUUUCAAAAUCAAACACGAUCAUUUCAUAACAUUUAGUAUACAUAUUAAAAACUAUUCAUAUAAUACUCAUAUUGUCCCUUAUAUAGGCCCUCAAGGCCCAAAAUACACUUUAGAAGUGAGUCGGGAUUAAACCGGACACUCUAGAAAUUUUUCGCGAAAUGUCAAAAUUUUCCUUAGAAAUAAGGAACACACGCCCGUGUGGCCAAGCCGUGUGGCUCACAUGGCCUGAAGACAUGCCCAUGUCCUAAGCCGUGUGGGCAUUCAAUGUGAGGCACACGGCCGAGUCCCAGCCCGUAUCCUUACCCGUGUAAUUCUCUGACUUGUGUCACAUGGCCAACCACACGCCCUUGUGCUAGGCUGUGUGCAAAGUACAGGGGUCACAUGUCUGUGUGCUAGGUCGUGUGUAAAAACCUAGGCAUUCUGUUUUGAAAUUUCAAGGUGCAGGGGACACACGGCCAGAUCACAUGCCCAUGUGCCAAGCCGUGUGUCACACACGGCUGAGACACACGCCCGUGUCUCUGCCCGUUUGGACGAAAAUAGGCCAUUUUAAGGCCACUUUUCUCACCUUUUUUGACAUCAACCUAUAGACAGCAAUUCAAUAUACCAAAUAUCCCUAAUCAAGCAAUAAACACAAGCCAAAAAUCAUGUUUUAAGCAUAAUAAGCUAUCACGAAAUUCAAUUGUCUAAAUUUGCCAAACUAACUUCAUUCAUUGAUUUACCAAAACCUACUCCUAGCUAUAUACAUACAAACACACGCAUAUAUAUAUAAUUGUCAUUCAUAAUUAUACUCCAAGUAUAGCCUUUUUCAAUCCAUCCCUAUACAUGCCGUAUAAACCAUAAAAUGUACAACAAAAUCUACCGGAGUAAUCUAGAUAGUGUGACCCGAUGUGUUGAUUCGAACUUCUUGAAAAUCUACAAAGAACAUUAAACAACACAAGUAAUCUUAAUGAAGCUUAGUAAGUUCGUUGGCUUAAUACAUAAAUCUUACCGAACAUACCAUGACAAUUCAUUUAAGUAAAUCGUUCAUUACACAUUUCCUGCCAACUACAACUUUAAUCGAUGAAUUCGCUUCUUUGAGCUCAAUAUCAAUAAUAACCUAAAUUCUUCCACAUUAAUUCCAUAUAGCACUUGCCACUUCUUGUCAAUCAAAGAACGAUUUACGGAUUUGAGUACAUCGUAAACAAAAGCCCAAAGGUUGCACGAAAGAACAUAAGUGCUAAACUGAAACCUAUAAGGGUUGAACGAAAGCUCAUAAGAGCUAAAUGGAAACCCAUGAGGGUUAAACUGAAGCUCAAAAGAGCUGAACUAAAACUCAAAAGGGUUAUACUAAAGCUCAAAGAGCUAAACGGAAACCCAUUAAGGUUAAACGGUAACUUGUAUAAGUUAACUAAAGCUCAUGAGAGCUAAACGGAAAGUACACACGAAAUUUUGCAACAAAUGCUGAACCUUGAUUUACUUGGGUAAUUUACCGUCAAUUCCUCAUUUACACAGAACGACCUUACUCAAUCCGGCAUUCUGUUUGCUUCAAACAUUCAAUUCAAUUUCAUAACUUUAACAAUAAUAUUAUUUUCAACAAAUGACAUGAAUAAAUACAUAAUGUCAUUCAUCAAUUUAACAGUUAACAUUUAAAUUUAACCAUACGAACUUACUUGGGCUAAAUUGUAGAAUUCGUAGUAAUUCGGGGACUACUCAGCUAAUUUAUCUUUUUCACGAUUUUCUUCAGGCUCUUGAUCUAUAAUAUAAAAUUGUUCAUUUCUCAGUAUCUAAAUCAAUUCUAAUUCAUUUCAGAACUUAUGCCCUUUAAUUUUUGAAAUUACACAUUUGCCCCAACUUUUACAUUUUUUACAAUCUAGUCCCUCAUCAAUUUACCCAUCAAUUAAGCUAAUUUUUCUCAAUUAACACUUUAUCUAAUUAUUUUAAGUUACCAUAUACCCUUGAUAUUUAGAAUUUUAACACCAAACCCUAAUUCUUAACCUUUUUACAAUUUGGUCCUAAUAUCAAUAUCUAUCAAAAUUACUUAUUAAAAUCAUUAUAUAACAAAAUUAAAGCUUAAAUUCCAUGAUAAUUCAUCAUAAAAAUCCAUCAAUCAUCAAUGGUAACUUUUGAAAUUACCCAUAGAAUCAAAAACUAAUGAAAUAAGUAGUCGGACCUAAUUGUAAAAGUCUCAAAAACACAAAAAUUUCAAGAAAAGAGCAAGAAUUAAACUUACAUGAAGAUAAAAUAUGAAAACCAGCCUUGAGAGCUUUUCAAUGGUGUUUUUGGCUAAAGAAAAGUGAAGAAAUGUCUAGAGAUUCAAUUUAGUCCAAUUUUAACUAUUUAAUUUUAUUUCUUUUCCAAUUUUGCCCCUUGUUCACACUUAUCCUUUGAUUUUUUUCUGCUUGUACCGUCCAAGCCUUUCACUUUGGGCUAAUUUUCCCUUUUAGUCCUCCCUUAUUAAACACUUAAGUUAUUUAAUCAUUUUAGCAAAUUUUGCACAUUUUUCAAUUUAGUUCUUUUUAAUUAAUUAACCAUCAAAACGUUAAAAUUUUCUAACAAACUUUUGAUAGUAACUCAAUGACACUCCGUAAAUAUUUCUAAAAUUAUUUACAGCUCAGUUUAUAAAUUUUAGGCCUCGAUACCUCGUUUUCAAAACCACUUUUCUUAAAAUUCUUCUAAAACACAAACCACCAAAUCAAAAAUCUUUCUAAAAUCACACUUGACUCGUAAAUAAUAAUUAAUAAAAUUUUCAAACUCACUCGUCAGAUUUAGUGAUCUCGAAUCACUAUUUUUGACACCACUAAAAGUUGGACUGUUACACUAAUGUUUCUAAAUGGGUGGGGAACAAAGCUUUUAGAUGGAUGGUUGGGAAUGGAAGGAUGGCGAUGUUUUGAGAGGAUAUUUGGUGUUGUAAUCAACCACAAAAAAAAAAGAAUUUCCUAGAGUUUUUCGCUUAGCAAGAAAAAAGAAAGGUAUGGUAACAGAUUACUCGAGCAACAAUGGUUUCAGCAAUAUGAAUUACGGUGAAUUCUAACGAAGCUUUUAGAUGGAUGGUUGGGAAUGGAAGGAUGCGAUGUUUUGAGAGGAUAUUUGGUGUUGUAAUCAACCACAAAAAAAAAAGAAUUUCCUAGAGUGUUCCGCUUAGCAAGAAAAAAGAAAGGUAUGGUAACAGAUUACUCGAGCAACAAUGGUUUUAGCAAUGUGAAUUAUGGUUAAUUCUUUACACGAACAUUAUUGGAUAGAGAGGUUGUGAUGCUUCGUAGAUUGGAGGAUAUGGUGAAAAGCAUGGAGUUAGUUCUAGAGGUGAAGGAUCAGCUAAAUUGGGUGCAUGAUAGUAAUGGGGAGUUCACGGUAAAGAAGUUAUCUAACUUAUUAAUUAAGGUUGGAGGGGAAGACAUAAGUUUUGCUUUUGAAAAAAAUUGGAAGUUAAAGGUACCACCGAGAGUGCGAAGUUUUCUAUGGAUGCUUGCUAUUGAUAGAUUCCUACAAAUGAAUUUCUUGUUAAAAGAGGGGUAUAGCUUCAACACAUUUCAAUCAAAUGUGCAUAGUAUGAAAGAGUACCAGAGAGAGCAGAUAAUCUAUUCUUCAAAUGCAAAUAUAUUGAAGGGUUUUCGUAUAAAUUUUUCAAAUGGUGGGAGGUUGAAUGGAAAUCGGUAGAACGAUUUGCUAAUUUUAUUCUUUGUGUUAUAAUGUGAAAUUGUUAGGAAUCCGAAGAAUGUUAUGGUUGCUAUCAAUUUCGGCAGCUUGCUGGUCAGUGUGGACAGAAAGAAAUGAAAUUGUCUUCGAAAGAAAGGUGAUGACUAUGGAAGCUUUGAUAUUUCAAUCCAAGAUGAGGGCAAUGUUGUGGAUAAGGGUUGUAUAUGAUGAGUUAAUGGUGCAGGAGAGCUCUUGGUGGAUUUGUCCGAACAAGUGCAACUUUAAUACAAUUAAACCAGAUCCUCUUCGUCGAUAUGGCGCCUUCCUCCACAAGGCUAUCUGAAUUUCAAUGUAUGCGGGAUAGUAAAUGAGAAAGUUGCAGGUUGUGGUGGAGUACUAAGAGAUAUGGAGGGUGUUGCAAGAGCUUUAUUUUCGGGUCCUAUUGCAGCUAAUGACGCAGAUUCAGUAGAGGUAGAGGCAGUGUUUAUAGCAUUGGAUUUGUUGUUAUCCAUGGGAUGGAAGAUUAAUAGCUCUCUUAUUGUAGAAAUUAGUUCAAAAAUGGUGUACAAUUGGUGUCUGAACAAGAAUAUGAGACUGUGGUCGUUACAAACAACAUUUUCAGAUAUUGAAAGGAAAAUUGAGCAGGUUGGUAGUGUAGUAUUCUUGAUGGCAGAUCAAAAGGUAAUGAAAUGGCUUCAACCUUGGCGAUAGUAGGUAUUAAUCGUGGUGACAUGUUUAAAGCUUGUUAGUGAGUAUUAGCUUUGAUUUCGAAUAAUAGUUUUCAAUUGUAGGAAAUGUUUCAUUGUGGUAUUUUGUAAGUUGUACCUUUGAAUGUUGUUCUUGUUGUAUUUACAAUAGAUUAGUUUGAAUGAAGCAAAAAAAAAGUUGGUGGGUACCGUGUGCCCCCUCUCUUCACGCCUUACUAUAUAAUAAUAAUAAUAAUAAUAAUAAUAAUAAUAAUAAUAAUAAUAAUAAUAGACAAGCUUAAGAAUAUAAAAAGCCUUUACUCAUUGCCUAAGAUAAAAUUUAAUCCUCAUUAAUAUCUUAAAGAGAAAUCUUUCUAAAUAAUAAUAAUAAAAUAAUCCUAAAUUUUAAAUGUCUUGUAUGUCAACUUCUCAAUCCAACGAUAAAUUUACUUUUUUAUAUUGUACUCUAACACUUCGAACAUGCGCUAUAUUUAUAUAGAAAAUAGUCAAUAAAAUACCAAAGUAGUAACAUCCAUGUCCAAAAUUAAUCAGAAUAAAUCAUUAAAAAAAUGUCUAUUAAGAACAUUAUCAAAUCCCCCCUUAAUCAAUACUUGCCCUUAAACAUUUUAUGCAUUCAUCAUCUAAACAUAUCACAAUCAUCAAAGCCAAUUCAAUUUUCACAGUCCUUAGUUCAAUAAAAAAAAUAAGCACUAUCAAAAUUUUAACCCUACAACCGUCUCGCUCAAGCAAGCACAUAGAUUAACAAUUUAUGAUAAGUGCUAAAAGUAACAUAUUUUAACCUCGUUCUAUAACAUCUCAAAAUUGGGGGUUAGAAGUUUUGAGGUUUGUAGUGAGGGUCAGCGAGUAGGUCGAACAAUUGGUUUUAUUUUCGCUUUUUAAUAUCAAAAUGAGCUUGUUGGUUUGAUGGUAGAGUAUGUUACUAGUUUCCCUUGGACGAGUGUUUGAAUCCCAAUGUGAGAAUAAAGGAAGUUUUGUUUUAAUUUUAUUUAUAUUUUUUAUUUGAAAAAAAUAGAAGAAAAUCCUAAAAAUUUCUCACGUUCUCCACUUUCUCUUUCACAUCAGUCUCCCUCUUUCGGUAAAGAAAAAUUAUAGAUUCUGAUUUUCUUUCUUUUCUUUAUUGGGUUUCAAUACUUUUGUAAACCGCUGCCUUAAAAUCCUGGUGGUGCUUUUGUUCUUCGUUUGAUCAGACGUCGAAUAGGUUUAUUCGGUUAAUACUUGGUAAUUUGAUAUAAAUUUUAGGUCGAAAUUGUUUAUAGCUUUAGUAUGUUUGCAGAACUGAGUUUCAGGUCGUUAGAGUAAAGGCGAAGUGGUCGGUUCUUGGUGCUCUGGAACAUCAAUCAGGUGUGUGUUCUGAAAAUGUUUAAUUUUGGUAUCGAAUUGCUAUUGGAUUCUAUGGAAUUCAGCAGUUUCUAGUGUGUUUAUGAAAUUGUGUGAAUUCGGUAACGAAUUGUUGUUGGAUUUUAGGGAAAUAUGCAAAAUUCUGAUGUGUCUUGAAUGGUUAGCGAUUUGGGGUUUGUUUUGCUGUUGUGAAAUUGCAAUUUUAGCUUGUUUCGGUGUGGUUUCUUUACCACAUGGGCGUGUGCCGCACACGAGUAGUCCACACGGUCGUGUGACAUUGGAAAUUUGGGAUUUUGGACUUUUUUUAGUGCCACACGGUCGUGUGGCAGCUAUUUAGGGAUUUUUGUGUGCCUUGGACACACGGUCGUGUCCCUUAGCCAUACGGGCAUGUGAGAUUCCCACACAGCCCUGUUUACUUUGCUCCUUAUUUUGACAUUUUUGGACAGUGAGUGACAUUAAUUAUUCACACGACCAUGUAACUCGGUCGCACGGGUAUGUGUCUCCUCCACACGAGAGUGUACAGCUUGCACACGGGCGUGUAGACCACCACACGACCUAGUAGACCUCCACACAACCUAGGCACUACCACACAGCCGUAUGGCCCUGUUUUGCAAAUUUUUGUUCAGUGUUGAAAUUUUGCUCGUUUUGUGUUUCUGUAUAUUUCAACCCUUGGUUAAGUCUUGGUAACUGUAUUUGGGACUCCGCUGCAAUAUGGAUUUAAGUGUGUAUGUAUGUGUUCAGUUUAGGUAAUCAGGAAAUGUAUUAAUGGAUUAUGAUGAAUGAGCUUGAAUUGCUUACUUGUUGUCGUAAUUCUGAAAUAUGUACAAACGCUAUUGAUUUUGAAAUUGUUCGGCUGAAUGUGAGUGACGGUCUCUGUGAGUCUAUUAGCGUAUGUUGUGCAUUCAUGCAUUUGCAUAAAAUCGAGGUUUUUAGUUGCGAAGAGAAGGAAGGCUGAUUGGGUAGUUCAACUGCAAUAUUUUUGUACAGCAGUUUACCGUAAUGAUUUAUACAUUUGUCAGCUAAGCUACAUAUUGUUAUUCGAGUGGCUUAGUUCCACAAUAUGUGGUGUGUAGGGUAGAUGGGCCUAUCAUGGUCCUAUGUCGUGUGCAGGGUGGACGGGCUUGAUAUAGCUCAUAGGUGGUGUGCAGGGUGGUCGAAGUGGUCUUCAGAUGGUUGGGGUGGGUUUUUGACUCGUUACAUUCGCUACGCAUCUAAAUAUAUGUUUGUUUAUGUGAGCAUUGAGGUGUUGGAGAUAUGACCAUUAUAACUUGAUGUGUUUUAUCUAAUAUGUGGUUUGGUAUGCUUUAAAAGCACCAUGUUAUUGAAUUACCCAUUGAGAUUUCCAUUUAUGAUUUGUGCUCAUAUACUGUUUUGGAAUACUCGAUGUGUUACUCCGUUUUGUUGAUUGCUUUUGAUUUCAGACUCACAUUGAGCUCAAGUAGCUCACCUCACCUUAGUGUUUCAUUCUUCGAGGUACUUUUCGUGUUCGAAAGCUGGACUCGGCAUGCCGGAGGUUUCAGACUAUCGAGUAAAUUGAUUUUGGUUCAAAUGAUGCUACUUAAAAAUUCAGUUGUUAUUUUCAAAUGGUUCGUAGGAAAGAUUAUAAAAAAUGUGGUAUGAGUUAAGUCUGGAUUUUCGAUCAACUAGUUGUUACGGUUUUAAACAAUUUAUAUGUUCCGUUAUAUCAAGGUUUCGAAAUUUUGGUUUGUGAAUGACAAAUUUAUGCUUUCAGAACUGUCAAAUGAUUCCAUAAGAAUUACUUCCGACUUGCGUCGAAUGCCAUUUAAAUGAUUCCAUAUGAAUUACUUCCGACUUGCGUCGAAUGCCAUUUAAACUUUGUUUCAAAAUUUAAUUAAGUGUUAUCUAACUUUCUAAAAUUACAUGCUUGUGACAGAGUUUUUAUCUCAACCACUUUAGGUGGUCAAUGUGACCUCCGAGAUUCGGUCUAAACUUUUAGGUCGGGUUUUAGGGUGUUACACAUUCUUAGUGUGUUUUUGGGUGAUUAUUCAAUGUUAAUGGUGAAUUUUAUGCUUCUAAUCCUUCAAAUUCUUAUUUUUAUGCUUAAAAGGGCAUUUGGGAGUAAAACAAGCAAAAAUUGGAGUAAGGUACAAGAGACACACGGGUUGACCCCUUCCACACUUCCUGAUAUUUAAAAUAAUCUAGAAAUAUAACCGAUUUUGAAAUAAAAUUUAAACAGAUUCUGAAAAAAAUUUUAACAGAUUCCCUAAAAAUCGUGGUUUUUCGCAUUUCAAAGUGCAAUUCUGCAAAAUUGACAUGACCUGCCACAUUGAAGCUGAUUUUGAAGUAGAUUUCUGUCAAGAUUGAAGACUCCCAGUUGAUUUCUUUGGAGAUUAUCAUUUCUUUAUUUCUUUCGGUUAUAUUAUAUCUUUGAUGUUUUUAUUUUCAAGCAUGAACUAAUUUUCUAAAUACAUAGGGAGAUGAACCCUAGGAUGGAUUCUGUCGUUUGAUUUUUAUUUUGCUCAAUAAAUACUUAGAUCUUAAUUCUUGAUAUAAUAUUUCUAGAUUAUUUAUCCAUGUUUGGUGUGCUUAAAUCAGAGGAGGAAUAGACCCUGUUUAAGAGUAGAUCUUGCGUAAUUGAGUGGAUUUGCAUGCAAUCCUAGACAUAAGACAACAUAAAUCUAUCGAAUUAGAGUCAAAUCUAAUAAGGGAAUUCAUAGCACAAGUUAAUGCGAUAAUAGGGGUUUUAAUUAGAAAGAAAUUUCAAUUAAUCAAUCUUGAGUUAGUUGCUCUUAUUCUCGAAAGAAAUAUUUGUAUAAUCUAGGGAUUUUUACAAAUCAAGUUGCUAAGUAAAGAAAUUGCGUAACUUAGAUUGAUAACGACAGAUGAAACCUAGAUGAGUAUUGUUUCGCUUCUUGGUUGUUAAUCGCUUAUUUUUCUGAUAUAUUUUUUGUCACAUUCUUUAGUUAGUUAAUUUAGUUAAUUUUAAUUUUAAUCAAUCACUCAAAUUUAUCGGUUAAAUAAUAAAAAGACAGUAUUUACUAGUACUUUUAGUCUUCGUGGAAACGAUAUCUUUAUUCACCGUAACUAUAUUGUUAAUUGAUACGUACACUUACCUUAGUCAAAUUUUUAGUUGUUCACGACACAUCAAUUCAAUUAAGCAUACAAUUAUUAAAUUAUCUCAUAAUUAAGCUGCACAACAUUAACUUACGUUAAAUUGUCAAGACACCAAAAUUAACAACCAUUUGUCCCAUAUUUUUGUGUUCAUUUUUUUUUCUUUUAAAAGUUUAUCUAGAGUGUCACGAGAUCUUUUUCCAUGAAAAAGGAUGACAAUCCAAACACUCCACUCCGAUUAAUCAAUUCACCACAUGUUGACUAACUUUAGUCAAAAUUGUUAAGAUCAAUAGAAUAGCUGAAUAGCUUAGAAUGUCACUAAAUCUUUUGACGUGAAGACAAAUGACAACCUAAGCACUUGACUCAAGUUACUCAAUCGAUCACAAUUCUAAGACUUUACUCAUAAUUUAGGCAAUUAAUGAGUAUUUAUUAAAUUAUUUUAUUGAUUAUUUUUUUCAAUUUUUUUUUGUUCGAAUGCAAGAUGAAACAUGUUUUAAGAGUAUUAAUCUCGUUAAAAAUUGCGUGAGCCUAAUUUUUUUUUUUUUGGUGAGUGCUUCAGCUAAGUAAUUAAUAAUUAUUAUUAUUUACUUUAAAAUAAAAUAAAAUUCAUGUAAAAGAGUAGCAUAUAUAGGCAGAGUAUUUAAACAUGCUUAAUAGAAAAUAUUCUAUCAAUUUUUGAAUCGCUUAAACAAUAAAAUGAUAUCUAAAUUAUAUUAAUUUUUUAAAAUUGGUAUUUAAAUUUUUCUUAAGUCAAAAUGGUACCUAAACAAUUAAUCUAUUAUCUAUUUAAUUCAGCCAAUCAAUUGCCACGUAAAUAUCUAUUUAUUUUUUUCAAAAUAUUACUAAAAUUUGAUAAAUAAAAUUAAAAAUAGUUAAAAAUAAAACAUCAUAAAUUUAAUAAAAUUUAAACCUUACGAAAAAAACAUUUUACUGAUUGAAAAAACAUCAUAAAUUAAUGCUACCAACAACUCCUAGAAAGAGUAUCCACUAAUAACAAUAAACUUACAUGAGUGAGGGAUUUAUUGAAACAAUCAGCAACCAAUUUUGACACUUUUUACCAAUUAUUUUAUAUAUUUAUUUUUUAUUAUUAUUAAAAAAAUUAAUUUAACUCUUUAAAAAUUACAAAGAUAUAGACUAUUAAAAUGAUGAAAUUAUUUAUUAUUAUUAUAAAAAUAUACAAUUUAAUUUCGACCUCCCAAUAAAUAUUUCAAAAUCCGCCACACGAAUGAUCCAAAUAAAAAGACGACAGUCAAUACAAUUAAAUUUAAAUUCUCACUUAAAUCCAAAUUCAAAGUAAAACAAAUGUGACAGAAUGAAUCAAAUAGUGGGAGAAUGUUUUUCAAGAAGUAGAAAUGCAAAAAUAGCUUCAAAAUCUACUCUUACUAAAAAAAAAGAAAAAUAAGAAAGAAUUUAUUAUCUUUUAUACUAUUAAUCUCUCACAUAUACGGCCAAGCUACUCUGAACGUACAACGCACCCAUUUGCGUCAUUGCAAACGCAAUUUUGGUCCUUAUGCUAUAAUAAAGGGGGAAAUGAUUCUGGUUUAGACAAGAAAAAUGAAUGCGUUGAUGAAGCUUCUAAUUCUUGCUCCAUGUUGUUUCUUCUUCAUAGCUUUAAUAAAGUUACUUUAUGAUUACCUAUGGAUACCUCUCCGUAUUCAGCAUAUGCUGAAUUCACAGGGGAUCAAAGGACCUCCUUACAGAUUCAUCCAUGGCAACAACAUGGAAGUUACCAAAAUGAAACAAAAUGCUUUAAGCAAAUCUGUGGCCUUGACAGAUGAUCUAUUUCCCAAAGUACAUCCACAUAUUUACACCUGAACCAACAGAUAUGGUAAGAUCCAUGCUUGUUUUUUUCACUAUGAUUUAUAACUUGUAGUUCUAAGAAAAGGUAGACCCUUUUUCUUUUCAUGUUAUUAGGGAAGAAUUUUGUUUAUUGGAACGGUGCUCGAGCUGAAUUGGUGAUUUCAGAGCCUGAAUUAAUCAAAGAGGUUCUGGAAAAUAGUGAACAAAUUUUUCAGAAAAAGAAACCUUCAGAUAUUGGUGGGAAGUUCUUGGGGAAUGGUCUUCUAUUCAUUGAGGGGGAAAAAUAGCCAAAGCAUCGAAAGCUGGCCAAUCACACUUUCCAUGGGGAAAGCCUAAAGGUAAGUCUUCCAAAUAUAUAAACCAGGUGCAAUUAAUUUACAAGAAUUAUACAUAGACCACAAUAUUUUGGUAAAAUUUUGUAUUGUUAGCUAAGGAUAAGUUUAUUAUGGACGUUGAAAAAGUGUAGUAAAAACAUACUUUCGAAGAUUUUAACACCAUUUACUACUUAGGAGGUCAAUUUUAAACUUGAUGCUGUAAAAUAAAAGAUUGAAUCAGAGAUUUAAAAAAAGUAAUUUCAUUAAAAAGCACUCUUUUAGCUUUUAGACUUGGAUUAAAAUCUAGUUUGAAAUAAGAUUUAGUUUGAAAAGGUGUUUAUUUGUCAAAUUUUUUAAUUUAAAAUCAUGAUUUUGUGUUAAAAAGUGUUUUUCAGACUCCAAUUAUAUAUGUCACUAUUACUUACAUGUUGGAGGAUUCUUUGGGCAGAACAUGACUCCAGCAAUAAUUGCUAGUGUUGAAACAAUGCUAGAAAAGUGGAAAGGCCAAGAAGGCAAGGAGAUUGAAGUGUACCAAGAAUUUAGGUUAUUAACUUCAGAAGUGAUUUCCAGAACAACAUUUGGUAGCAAUUACAUGGAAGGGGAGAAGAUAUUUGCCAUCUUGAGCAAGUUGGCAGUAAUUAUGAGUCGAAAUGUUUCCACGACUAGAAUUCCUUUGAUCAGGUAUCUUCCCUCUAAGCUUAAUUAAUCCCAACUUUUACCUUGAUUUCAUGUAGCCUUUGAAUGCAACUUUUAGACUUUCAUUCCCCGUGGAUUUGGUUUUCUCAUAUAUAGCUGACCCUGGUUUGCUUUUGCAGCAAGUUGUGGAAAUCUGCUGAUUUGCUAGAGUCUGAAAAACUUUCAAAAGAAAUGAAAGAUCGUGUGAUGAAGAUUGUUAAGAAAAGAGAAGACAAAGUUGUGAAUGGAGAAGUCAAUAGCUUCCGCAGUGAUUUUCUUGGAUUACUUCUAAAUGCCUAUUAUGAUUCGGAUGCGAAAAACAGGCUUUCAUUGGAAGACGUGGUAGCUGAAUGCAAAACACUCUAUUUUGCUGGACAAGAAACUGUUAAUUCCUUACUUGCAUGGAUAGUCUUGCAUUUGGCAAUCCUUGGAGAUUGGCAAGAAAAAGCGAGAAGAGAGUUGGUUGACAUAUUUGGUAACCAAAAUCCACAUCUCGAAGGCAUCGCCAAACUCAAAAUAGUAAGAAAACUAUAAAACUGGGAAUUCAAAUAGCCAUCGACAUGAUGUAAUCUGACAUAUUAUUCUAUUUUCCAAACAGAUGACCAUGAUCAUCAAUGAAGCUCUAAGAUUGUAUGGUCCAACAAAUGUCCUCCAAAGAACAGGUACAAGAGAAAUUCAGUUGGGAAAGCUAAUCUUGCCUGCUAAUAUAGAUAUUCUGCCUUUAAGUAUUGGACUUCACCGGGACCCUCACUUUUGGGGAAAUGAUGUGCAUCAUUUUAAACCUGAGAGAUUCGCUGAAGGGAUUGCCAAAGCUACCAAUUACACCGCGGCUGCCUUUUUCCCCUUCGGAUUAGGACCUCGAUCUUGUGUUGGUAUGACAUUUGCAAUGAUAGAAACCAAGAUUGCUCUCUCCAUGAUUCUACAACGCUACACCAUUACCCUUUCCCCUGCCUAUGUCCACUCUCCAGUACUUAUUCUUACCCUUCAACCCCAAAAUGGAAUUCAAGUAAUACUUGAGCCGAUACAUAGUAAUGCUUGAAGUACAUAGCCGUUAAGAACUAGAGGUUUAACAUGGUUCGUGAAUUCUACUUUUAAGAGAUGAUAUUUAAUAUGUUUAAAGGUUCUAGCAUUUAUCACAAAGACAAACGACUCGUGGUCAUGUUUACUUUUCAUCUAUCAUGCAAUGUCGAUGAGAAGAUACCAUUUACCAAUUAGUUGGGUUAUGAAUUCUACUAUUUUGAAUGAUGUUACAUACUAUAGAAGUUGUGUAUCCAGUGCACCAACUUUUAAUGGUUCUUUAUCUUAGCCUUUUACUUGCAUCAAAGUAUACGAGCCAUGCAUGCAUAGUCCAUCAUCCACUCAAGAUUAAGGUAUAUCACACUAUGAACAUCACAAGUAAAUAGAUCCAUAAAUGGAUUUAGAAUCGAUUCUCCUUGGGUCUUAUCUGAUGUACUGUCAGUCCAGUCAAUCACAUCUAUGUUUUUAUCUUUUAGGAGUCAUCUGUUCCAUUUGAGACAAAGCUUCUCCACAAUUGGGCUUGAUAGACGACAUAUUAGUUUCUCAAUCGAUUUGCUCAUUUUCAAUUAGACUAAGGACAUAUUUAGGUUUAUCUACUAAUACAAGCUAUCUUUUCAUAUCACGAUCUGACCACGUGAUACCGCUUAGUAUUAAUUUAAACAUUAGAUAACCAAUGAGUCAACAUUUGCUUCCAUUUUGCUUUGCAUGCAAAAACAUUGAGGACAAUAUCCAAAGGGUAUUACUUUAAUUAAUAGAUAUUAUUAAACCAAUUUGUUUGAAAAAUACAAUUAUAUAAAACGAACAUAGUACACUUAGUGUACCAGAUCCAACAGUGGCCACUACAGCUAGCAUUGCCAUUAUAAGCAACAUAACUUGACAUUUUUGGAGUUGAAAUCUUUUCAGCAAAAUCAGUUGGGCAACGACUUAGAUGAUUUUGUGGACAUGUGUUGGCUCAUAUUUGAAGAUCCAUUUUGUGGAAUCAAUCUUUGAAUAUUAAAUCAAUCUGAAUCAAGCAAAUUGGAUCACUUAUUUUGUGGAGAUUGGCUUGACUUAUUUGAAAAUUUAUUUUCGAAAUCUUUGAUUUAUUCUUGACUUUGAGGAUAUUUGUAAAGUUUUUUUUUACAAGGCUAUUUUUUGUGGGAUAUUGAUUCUAAUUGAUCUUUUAUCUUUGCAAACAUUAAAUUCUUAUAUAUUAGAGGCUUGUAUAAGUUAAAAAAAGAUAGAGUUUUUAUAGCACUUAUUUUUUUCAUUGAGGAACUUGUAUUUGAUAGUGCAUUAAGAGUGUAAAUUAAGUUUGUUGCUUGGUUUUACAACCAAAAUUCUCAAGGGAAUUUAGUGGUGAGUGAUUUAGAUCUUUAGAUACAAAAGUGAGGUUGCUAUACCGAGUUGUGAUAGGACUUCAAUAACUUGUUGUCUUGGGAUUAAAAAUAAUGAAUUUACUCACUAAGUUAGGUUUCAUAGACAUAGAAAAAUCGAUAUGCGUAAACAAUCAUUUGUGUUCCAUUUUUUGUUGUUGUGUUCAUCAUAGUGGCAUCAAAGGUUGCCACUACAGCCAUCACUUUGGUCAUCAAUUACGCACUUUAUUUUUUUAAGCAAUUAUCAACUUUAUGCUCCAAGAGAAUGCUUGUUUCUAGUACAAUUGAUCAAUUUUGUAGGAAGCAUAAUGACAAAAAAGAAAAUGGUUACAAUCAACCCCUUCUGUAACAACUCCAUUUGUAUCUUUGCAUGUUAUAAAAAGGUGGUUGUUAUAUACUAUAACAACAUGUUGUUAUAAAAAGAUAAUUAUUGUAAACCUAAAAUAGAAUUUAUAUCGUGAAUUACUAUCAAAUAAAGAAAUUGAGAAUUAUAUUAAAAAAAGGAAAGUAGAAAUCAAAUCAACAAAAUUAAAAGAUGUAUAAUAGGUGCAUGCAUUAUUACCUUUAUAUUUUAUUUUACAUUUUUCACAUGAUUAAUUAUAAAAUUCAUCAAUCUAACAAAUAAUUAAUCGAUAUGAGUUUAAAUUAAAUUAAAUUAGUUAAUUUAUCAUGUGUUAUUAAAUACAAGUAAUUAAUUUAUAAGAUUAUGAUGUUCUAAAUUCAUAGUAAAUUAAUAUUUAAUUAGAGAACUUAAUAGUUUAUUGAAUUGAUAUCUUUAAUUCCACGAAGAUUUUUCAUGUCAAAUUUAAACAUUUUAUUAAAAUAAUAUUUUAGUUAAGAUCAUUUUUAUUUAAUAAAUUAGAAUUCAUAUAAGCAAUAUAAUUAAUCAUAAUAAAUUAUAAUUAAUAGGCUUGUAUAUCGGUCCAGUGUAAUUAAUAGACUUGCUUAAAUGAGUUUUAAAAUAUAUUUUUAAAUUUAAAAUUUUAUUUCUUGAAUAAUGAAUUGUUACCUGCUUAAUUUAUGAAAUAUCUUUAUUGACUUAUUUGAUUGCAUUGGUGAAACAAUUAUUUUAGUAUUUUUAAAUUUUAUGUAUAUAAAAUUUUUAAAAAAAUAAUAAUAAAUCUAAAAUGACACAUCGAAACAGCUGAAUAUUGGCACAUGCGAAUACCAAUAAAAAAAUCAACAUCCACCAAUUUACCCGUUACUUUUUGGUAUUAGGUAGUGGGAGAUUUGGUUUUUGCUUUUGUUUUUGAGAUGUUGAUAUGUUUCACAUCAUCCAUAAGAUGGGCUCUACCUCACCUUUUGUUUGUCUGUUUCCCAUGCUUUCCAUACAAAUCACUAAAAGAAUGGGCUAAAAUGUCAAAUAAACUCUUCAAAAAUAAUUUUUAAAAAACUUAAUUAAGUCUCUUAUAAUAAAGUGCACCAAAUUGAGCUUUUUUAAAUCACAAUUUGCACUUAAUUAAUCCCCUUGAAUUCAUUUUCCCAUUGAAUCCCUUUACGUUCAGUUAACUGCUGACGGGGCAGGUGAUGUGGAAAAAUGAUGGUGUGUUAAUUAGUUUAUAUGGCAAGCUAACAUGGAGGGCUUAAAUGAUUUUUUAUUAUUUUACAAGGGUUUAAUUAAUUAUUUAAAUAAAAAUUAUUAAAAUUUUAAAAAAUCUAAUUUUAAAAUAUAAAUUAUAAAAAUCAUAAAAAAUAUUUUAAAAAUAUUAAAAAUGAUAGAAAAUUUUUAAAUGUUAUAAAUAGUUUAUAAAAACACAGGAAAUUUAUUAAAACAUCGUUAAAUAUAAAUACAUUAUCAUAAAAAUAGCAUAAAAUUUUAGAAAUUAUUAAAAAAUACAAAGAAAUACGAGUAAGUUAGAGAAAAUUAUUAAAAAUACAAAAAAUAUUAAAAAUUAGUAGUAACUUUUAUAAAAAUUAUUAAAUAGAUUUUUUUAUUGGUUUGGAGUGUUUGGCAUUUUCAAUUUUAUUUUUUUGGACAUUAGAGUCUUUGGUUUUAGUAAUAAGGAAAUGGGGAGAUUGAAGUGCGAUGAUCAAACUUGUGAGGGGUUUGAGUGACCAUGGGUUUAGUACUUGAUGGCUUAAAGUGAGCGAUCAAUAGAGGUGUUCAUGGACCGAUCCUGUUCAAAAAAUAAAAAAAAUGUUAAAGAAAGCUUUUCUAAAUAUUUUAUAUAUCUUAUAAUUAAGUUAAAAAUAUAUUUUUAUUAUUUUUAAAAUGGCGAAACGAAUCAUUUUGGCGAGCUAGGUCUAGUUGGGCUCAAGCCUAGAAAGUUUUAUGAAAUUAGGCUUAAGCUCCACCCAACUCAUGAAUACCUCUAGUGAUAUAUAAUGAUGUUGUAUUUGAGGAAAGAUGAUGCGAGGGACAUUAAUAAGGAAGGGUUGAUAUAUGAUGUAUGACAAUGCGUGAGAGAAAACAAAAAUGUGUAAUAAUUUUAAAUUUUUUAUAACUUUUUCUUUAAUUUUUAUAUUUCUUUAUAGUAUUUGAAUAGUUUUAAUAAAUUUUAUAUAUUUUUUCUAAAAAAAUUUAUAACAUUUUAUAUUUUUCUAUAUUUUAAUGUCUUAUAAUUGUUUAUAAAUUUAUAAUAAUUUUUAUGAAUUUUUAAUUUAUAUUUAAAAACUAGAUUUUUUUUUUAGAAUUUAAAAAUCGAAACAAUUGAAUAGGUGGAAUCGCUUCUUUAAAAAAUAUUUUUUUAUAUUUUUAUGAAAUUUUAAUUAUUUAUUUAAUCGUUGUUAGUUUAAGAGCCGAUUGAAUUAAGAAUCGAGAAUUUUAGACAUUGUGUCCUAACUUACGGGACGUGAUUCUUCUUCUGGAUUAACGUAGAAAUAUGCUUCUCUCUUUAAAGUUUAUUUUUCAAAAUUUUGAUAAAGGAUCGUAUUUUGAAUCUUUUUCAAGUUUUCAAUAUUCGACACUAAGACAUUAAUUAAUCAACUAGGUAUCAAUUUUGGGCGUUACGAGGGUGCUAAUCCUUCCUCGUGCGUAACCGACUCCCGAACUUAUUUUUCUAAAUUUCGUAGACCAAAACCGUUGUUUUAAUAAAAUCAAAUCGUUUAUUAAAAACAACUACUUUUCGAGGUGACCCGAUCACACCUCAUAAAAAAAAAGGAUUGGUGGGGACAUUUGUUUUCGUUUUCAAAAUCCAAGUCAAGCCCGUUUUAUCAAAAAAAUGGUUACUAGCUUUAGUCAAAAUUGUUAAGAUCAAUAGAAUAAGCGAAUAGCUUAGAAUGUCACUAAAUCUUUUGACGUGAAGACAAAUGACAACCUAAACACUUGACUCCAGUUACUCAGUCGAUCAGAAUUCUAAGACUUUACUCAUAAUUUAGCAAUUAGUGAGUAUUUAUUAAAUUAUUUUAUUGAUUAUUUUUCAAUUUUUUUCUUUUGUGAUCGAAUACAAGAUGAAACAUACUUUAAGAGUGUCAAUCUCGUUAAAGAUUGUGUGAGCCUAAUCGUUUUUUUUUUUUUUGUGAGUGCUUCAGCUAAGUAAUUAAUAAUUAUUAUUAUUUACUUUAAAAUAAUAAUAAAAUUCAUGUAAAAGAGUAGCAAUGGCAUAGUAUUGAAACAUGCUUAAUAGAAAAUAUUCUAUCAAUUUUUGAAUGGUUUAAACAAUAAAAUGAUAUCUAAAUUAUAUUAAUUUUUUAAAAUUGGUAUUUAAAUUUUUCUUUAGUCAAAAUGGUAUCUAAACAAUUAAUCUGUUAUCUAUUUAAUUCAGCCAAUCAUUUGCCACGUAAAAUAUUUAUUUAUUUUUUUCAAAAUAUUACUAAAAUUCGAUAAAUAAAAUUAAAAAUAGUUAAAAAUAAAACAUCAUAAAUUUAAUAAAAUUUAAACAUUAAGGGAAAACAUUUUACUGAUUGAAAAUACCCUUAAUCAGAUUUUACUAACAAUCCCUAUUUUUUUCAAACAAAUCACAAACUCUUUUAGUUCAAAAAAUUGCAAAUCAUCUUUUUACAACCUUCAUUAAUCCUUUGUGGAAUUGAUAGAAGGGUACGUUUGAAGAAUUAAUUUGUUUUUCUUGAAACCCUUGUUUGUCAAUUUCAUUGAUGAAACCUUUCUAAUUUCAUCAGUAUUUGAUUUUUAUUUUAGGUUAAUCGUAAAACUUUAAUUGAUUUGGGCAAACCGAAGGAGUUGUAAAAAGGUUGAAAGGUAUGAUUUAGGCUUAAGGGUUCUUUUAUAGUUAAUAUGUAGAAUCGAAUGUAUGUGACUUUUGGCAAGUUGUCGGUUCUUGAAAUUUUAUAUUGAGAAAGUAGAACACACCUUUUAAGGGGAAGUUCUUUGUUUGACUCGAGAUUAUUAGUCUGUUGACAAAAAGCCAAAAAAAUGUGCCAUUUGCUUUGAAGUUAUUUAUGAUUGUUUACGAUAAAUUGAGGGUUUUUAAUGGUGUUUAUAUAUGUAUUUUGUUAAGAUACAUAAUGAUACAACUAGAGUUUGUGAUAUGUUUUGAGAUGAUAGGCUUCUCGAUUAUGUGAUUUAUUGUCCUUAGCUAAUUCAAAUAUAGAUUAAUGAGGUUGGUUUAAUAUAUGUUGUAGGGAACAACGAAAAUGGGGAAAUAUUAAAUAUUACCCUAAAACAAAUUGAUAAUUAAUAUAGUUAAAUUAAAUCCAUUUUGUUUUGGCAAAUGAAAACCAUUGGUUUUUAAAGGUUUGAGAAUUGAGGAACCUUUGCAAAACAUAAUGCAAUAUCAUCACUAAAACACUGUUUAUAGGAGCUGAGUAUAAAUACUCUUUUCAUGUCUUUGUUGUUGGGUUUUUUAGGUCUUUUUGUGACAAUUAUCAGUCCUCUCAUUUCAAUAUUUAUGAUAAUAAUACCUGUAAAGCAUGUUGGUCAUGUCUUAUUUUUACUAUACUAAAAUUUGUACUAUUGUAGUACUUAUUAUUAAAGUUCUAGUCCCGUGACAAUUGGUAUUGGACUAAGAUUUGCAGCUUUCUGUUGAGAUGAGGAAAGGAGUAGAAGAGCAGAUUGAACCCAGAGAGACCCAUGGGAGGGGCAGGAACUAUUUAUAUAUUUUUGAGAUGUUGAUAUCUUCCAGAGCCUUUUAUGACCACACACGAUAAUGGGUAAGAUAGGGUCCUACCUGACUUUUGGUUUAUCUGUUUUGAAGGGGAAAAUGGUUCUGGUUUAGAGAAGAAAAAUGAAUGCGUUGAUGAAGCUUCUAAUUCUUGCUCCAUGUUGUUUCUUCUUCAUAGCUUUAAUAAAGUUACUUUAUGAUUACCUAUGGAUACCUCUCCGUAUUCAGCAUAUGCUGAAUUCACAGGGGAUCAAAGGACCUCCUUACAGAUUCAUCCAUGGCAACAACAACGAAGUUACCAAAAUGAAACAAAAUGCUUUAAGUAAAUCUGUGGGUUUGACUGAUGAUUUAUUUCCCAAAGUACAGCCACAUAUUUACACCUGGAUCAACAGAUAUGGUAAGAUCCAUGCUUGUUUUCUUCACUAAGAUUUACGACUUGUAGUUCUGAGAAAAGGUAGACCCUGUUGGUGCUGUAACUGAAACUAACAGACUCAGCACAGACUUGUCGAGCAAGUCUCGAGACUUGCUGAGCAAACAAGAGAAUUCGAGCAAAAGAAAGGAAGAAAAGCUAAGAAAAAAUGAAUAGGAAAAUUGAUGAACAAAACUGAACUAUAUUCAUAAAAUUGAAUAAUGGCAUAAUGCCAAUACAUAAAUCAAGCACUAAGCUUGUCAAAAACAGCAAGUAAUUACCUAAACAUCACCUACUCCCACUAAUUACAUGGAAACUUGAAAUUUUAGCUUGUAAACCUAUACAAAGUUGUGUUUACAGCUCAUACAUAAGCUAAUUACAUCAGUCAACAACCUAACUUAGUUAGAAAUGAACUAAGAUUACAUUUCAUUGACUAGAAAUUACAAAAUAAACAAAAUAAGCUUGCAUCAGCAGCUCCUGUAUGUCUUGGUCUUCAUGGCCUGCAUGCUGUCGAGUUUGUUGCAUGCUGAACCAACUUCAUCACUCCUCCUUGGUUUGCAUGGAGCAAACACCUAGCUUCUUUCUUAGACAUUCGAACCUUGUGACACUAAGGGCUUUGGUUAAAAUGUCUGCAAGUUGAUCCUCUGAAUUACAGUGGAUCAGCUUUACUUCCUGAGCUUGCUCCAUUUCUCGAACAACAUGCAGCUUGAUGCUGAAAUGCUUUGUUCUUCCGUAGAACACUGGAUUUUUAGCAAUUGCUACAGCAGAUUGGUUGUCACAGAAGAUCUCAGUAGCUUCCUCUUGAUGCAUAUUCAAGUCAGCUAAGAUUUUCCUUAGCCAUAUGGCUUGGUUGACAGCACUUGCUGCGGCCACAUACUCUGCUUCAGCAGUAGAUUGAGCCACUAGACUUUGCUUCUUCGAGCUCCAGCAAAACAUGGCUAAACUAAGAUUAAAAGCAUACCCUGAGGUGCUUUUCAUGUCAUCUAUCGAGCCAGCCCAGUCACUAUCAGUGUAGCCAACCAGCUUCAGAUUUCCUUCUUUGCUAUACUUCAAACCAUAGUUCAAAGUGCCUUUGACAUAUCUCAGCACUCUCUUUGCAGCUUGGAAAUGCUUCUCAUUGCAGCAAUGCAGGAAUCUUGAGAGCAAUCCUAUAGCAUACAUGAUGUCUGGUUUAGUGGCAGUCAAGUAUAGCAAACAACCAACUAGACUCCUGUAGGUUGUUUCACAUACCUUCUCAAAAACACCUUGGCUCGAUAGUUUUUCUCUAACAGCAACAGGUGUUUUAGUUGCCUUGUUGUUUUGCAUGGAAAACUUGGUCAGAAUCUUUGUGGCAAAGCUUCUCUGGCUUAGAAAUAUCUCAUUCUGUACUUGAGACACCUCCAUUCCAAGAAAAUAGGACAUCUCCCCAAGAUCAGACAUUUCAAACACUUCCUGCAUCUUGGUCUUGAAAUCAGCCAGCACUGCUCGAUCUCCUCCUGUCACCAGAAGGUCAUCAACAUACAGGGACACAAUGAGUUGUGUUUGUGUCCAUUGUUUCUUGACAUACAGUGUUGGCUCACUCUUGCUUCGAUCGAAUCCCAGAUCAGUCAAGUAGCCAUCGAUUCUGCUGUACCAGGCCCUUGGAGCCUGUUUUAAUCCAUAUAGGGCUUUCUUCAGUUUGUAGACCAUAUGCUCUUUGCCAGCUAUUUCAAACCCUUGUGGUUGUUCAACAUAGAUGUUUUCAUCUAGGAAACCAUUCAGAAAGGCUGAUUUUACAUCGAGCUGAUGGAUCUUCCACUCGAGCUGUACUGCUAAGCCAAUCAGUAGUCUGAUGGUGUCGAGCCUGGCCACUGGUGCAAAGGUCUCCAAGUAGUCCAGGCCAUAUCUCUGACUGAACCCCUUGACUACUAGCCUUGCUUUCAGCUUAUUCAAGGUACCAUCAGCAUUCUGUUUGGCUUUGUACACCCAUUUCACCCCAAUCACCUUCCUUUUGACUGGCCUUUCAACCAAUUCCCAGGUCUGGUUCUUCUCAAUCAUGUUGAUCUCCUCAGCCAUUGCCUGCUUCCACCCUUGCUGAGCCUCAGCCUCUUCAAAGUUGCUUGGUUCAGCUAUGGCUACAUGAGCCCUUUCAUAAAUCUCAGUCAAUGGCCUUGUUCCUCUGACUGGUUCAUCAUCAAUGUCCAUUUCUGGAACAUUUUGGUCUGGCUCAGCUUGGUCUGUUGCUAGUUCUUCAGAAACUUCUUCAGGUUCAUGUCUUUCCCAGUUCCAACAUGACCUUUCAUCAAAUACCACAUCCCUACUAACUGACACUUUGUUUGUUGAAGGAUCCAAGAUCCUAUAGCCCUUCUUAACAGUGCUGUAGCCCACCAGUACAGCAGGUUGAGCCCUUUCAGACAAUUUGUCCCUUUUAACAGCAGGUACAUGUGCAUAACAAAUGCAUCCAAAGACUUUCAGAUGAGCCAGUGAUGGCUUGAAGCCAAAUCAGGCCUCGAAUGGGGUCUUCUGAUCCAAGGCCUUUGUUGGUAGUCUAUUUUGAAUGUAUGUUGCAGUGUUAACUGCUUCUGCCCAUAGUAUUCUAGGCAAAUUCUUCUGAAUCAUUAAGCAUCUGGCCAUAUCCAUCAAACUCCUGUUCUUCCUUUCACUUACACUAUUCUGCUGAGGUGUAUAUGUGUUGGUAAGUUGAUGUUUGAUGCCUGCCUUAUCACAGAAGGCUUGGAACUGAGCUGAGGUGUACUCAGUCCCAUUAUCAGACCUUAUGGUCUUCAGCUUGCAGCCUAUUUCAGUCUCAGAAGCAGUCUUGAACUUCCAAAACACUGAGGCCACCUCUGAUUUUUGUUUUAAGAAGUAAAUCCAACAAUAUCUUGAAAAAUCAUCAAUGACCAGUAUAAAAUACCUAUUUCCACUUAAUGACUCAGUCUUCAUAGGGCCACACACAUCAGUAUGCACCAGUUGGAGUUUUUCAGAGGCUCUCCAGGCUUGAUUCGAGGGAAAUGGGAGUCUGGCCUGCUUUCCUAGCUGACAUACUCCACAUACAUCAUCAUGGUCCACUGAGUUGAUGAAGUUUUUAGCCAGGUCUUCUCUGACCAUUCGGGCCAUCGAUCUGAAGUUGGCAUGUCCCAGCCUUUGAUGCCACAACUUGGAUUCAUCUGAUGUGGCUGUGUAGGCAAUGUCUGACUUCUUUGUCCAGUCAACCACAAAGCUCUUAUCAGCCAUAGGGACUGCCAUCAGUUUGGAUCCACUUGGAUCACUGAUUUGGCACUGGUUGUCUUUGAACACAACAGAAUACCCUUUCUCCAGCAAUUGAGCUAUGCUAAGCAGGUUUCUGUCAAUUUCAGGCACCAAGAGCACAUUUGAAAUCACUUUGGCACCUGUAGAAGUGCAUAUCAGCACAUCACUCUUGCCUUCAGCUUGAAUGAAAUGACCAUUUCCUAUUUUGACCUUAGUUCUGCAGCUUCUGUCUAAAGACUUGAAGAUUGCAGCAUCAGGUGUCAUGUGGUUGGUGCAUCCACUGUCUAGGAGCCAACCAGAUGAGAACCUUUCCUGAGCAGCUGAGCAUGACAUAGUAAAAACUUGCUCCUCUUAGUCACUGUCCUCCUUAGCUACUCGAGCCUCAGCUUUCAUCUGUUGAAACUGAUUGUGCCUUGAUUUGGCCUUGCUCUUGCAAACUCUCUCAACAUGACCCUUCUUCUUACAAUGCUGACAUACAGUUUCUGGAUUAAACUAGCACUUUUCUUCUAGAUGACCAACCCUUCUGCAGUGCUUGCAAGUCUGACCUUCUCUCCUUGCAGCAUCAUUCUUUGGCUUGUCUCUCCAGGCCUUCUUGCCUUUAUAGGCAGUGUUUAUUCUUUCCUGAAAGGCACCUUCUUGAUGCUCCUCCAGCCUGCUUGCUCUCCUCUACUCUUGAGCAUAUAGAGCAUUGAUCAACUCUGUCAGGGAGAUGGUGGACAGAUCCCUUGAGUCCUCGAGAGAUGAGAUUUUUGCCUCAUACCUCUCAGGCAGAGUUGCUAUAACCUUCUCCACUAUCCUAGCUUCAUUGAACUGCUCUCUAAGGAGCCUGAUGCUGUUAACCACAGCCAUAAUCCUGUCAGAAUAUUGCUUGACAGUUUCUUCUUCCUUCAUCUUCAAAUUCUCGAAAUCUCUCCUCAAGUUCAACAACUGUUGCUGCCUUGUCAUCUCUGUCCCUUGAAACUCUUCCUGCAACUUGUCCCAGGUCUGUUUUGGUGAUUCACAGGCCAUAAUCCUUGUGAAAAUCACAUCAGACACUGAGUUCUAGAUGCGAGACAUGGCUUUGUGCCUCUUGGUCCUCUCAUCAGCAUGCUGCCUGAUCUGAGCCACUGUUGGAUUGCCUCUAAGUGGUUCUGGUUCAACAUCUGAGUUGACCACCUCCCACAGAUCGUAUGCCUGCAGGUAGGUCUUCAUUUUGACCACCCAUAUGUGAUAGCCUUCUCCAUUGAAUACUUGAGGUGCAGCUGGUGAAAAGCUUGAUGAAGCCAUGUAUUUGUAUAACAGAUCCCUUAAGAAAUAGGCUCUAGAUACCAAUUGUUGGUGCUGUAACUGAAACUAACAGACUCAGCACAGACUUGUCGAGCAAGUCUCGAGACUUGCUGAGCAAACAAGAGAAUUCGAGCAAAAGAAAGGAAGAAAAGCUAAGAAAAAAUGAAUAGGAAAAUUGAUGAACAAAAAAGAACUAUAUUCAUAAAAUUGAAUAAUGGCAUAAUGCCAAUACAUAAACCAAGCACUAAGCUUGUCAAAAACAGCAAGUAAUUACCUAAACAUCACCUACUCCCACUAAUUACAUGGAAACUUGAAAUUUUAGCUUGUAAACCUAUACAAAGUUGUGUUUACAGCUCAUACAUAAGCUAAUUACAUCAGUCAACAACCUAACUUAGUUAGAAAUGAACUAAGAUUACAUUUCAUUGACUAGAAAUUACAAAAUAAACAAAAUAAGCUUCCAUCAGCAGCUCCUGCAUGUCUUGGUCUUCAUGGCCUGCAUGCUGUCGAGUUUGCUGCAUGCUGAACCAACUUCAUCAGACCCUUUUUCUUUUCAUGUUAUUAGGGAAGAAUUUUGUUUAUUGGAAGGGUGCUCGAGCAGAAUUGGUGAUUUCAGAGCCUGAAUUAGUCAAAGAGGUUCUGAAAAAUAGUGAACAAAUUUUUCAGAAAAAGAAACUUUCAGAUAUUGGUAGGAAGUUCUUGGGGGAAUGGUCUUAUUUUCAUUGAGGGGGAAAAAUGGGCAAAGCAUCGAAAGCUGGCCAAUCACACUUUCCAUGGGGAAAGCCUAAAGGUAAGUCUUCUAAAUAUAUAAACUAGGUGUAAUUAAUUUACAAGAAUUAUACAUAGACUACAAUAUUUUGGUAAAAUUGUGUAUUGUUAGCUAAGGAUAAGUUUAUUAUGGGCGUUGAAAAAGUGUAGUAAAAACAUACUUUUGAAAAAUUUAACACCAUUUACUACUUAGGAGGUCAAUUUUAAACUUGAUGUUCUAAAAUAAAAGAUUGAAUCAGAAAUUUUAAAAAAAAAGUAAUUUCAUUAAAAAGCACUCUUUUAGCUUUUUGACUUGGAUUAAAAUCUAGUUUGAAAAGGUGUUUAUUUGUCAAAUUGUUUAAUUUGAAAUCAUGAUUUUGUGUUGAAAAGUGUUUUUCUGACUCCAAUUAUAUAUGUCACUACUACUUACAUAUAGGAGGAUUGUUUGGGCAGAACAUGACUCCAGCAAUAAUUGCUAGUGUUGAAACAAUGCUAGAAAAGUGGAAAGGCCAAUAAGGCAAAGAGAUUGAACUGUACCAAGAAUUUAGGUUAUUAACUUCAGAAGUGAUUUCCAGAACAACAUUUGGUAGCAAUUACAUGGAAGGGGAGAAGAUUUUUGCCAUGUUAGACAAGUCGACAAUAAUUGUGAGUCAAAAUCUUUCUAAGACUAGAAUUCCUUUGAUCAGGUAUCUUCCCUCUAAGCUUAAUUAAUCCCAACUUUUACCUUGAUUUCAACUAGCUUUUGAAUGCAACUUUUAGACUUUCAUUCCCCCUGGAUUUGGUUUUCUCCUUAUAUAUAGCUGACCCUGGUUUGCUUUUGCAGCAAGUUGUGGAAAUCUGCUGAUUUGCUAGAGUCUGAAAAACUUUCAAAAGAAAUAAAAGAUCGUCUGAUGAAGAUUGUUAAGAAAAGAGAAGACAAAGUUGUGAAUGGAGAAGUCAAUAGCUUCCGCAGUGAUUUUUUUGGAUUACUUCUAAAUACCUAUCAUGAUUCGGAUGAGAAAAACAGGAUUUCAUUGGAAGACUUGGUAGCUGAAUGCAAAACAUUCUAUUUUGCUGGACAAGAAACUGUUAAUUCCUUACUUGCAUGGAGAUUGGCAAGAAAAAGCGAGAAGAGAG
rnacentral:lncRNA from 1 species